rnacentral:lncRNA from 1 species
GAGAGAGAGAGAGACUGGUGGUGGGAGAGAGAGGGGUGUUUGGGUUAUAUGGAGGUUUUGGGGGAAAGCGAAGGAGAUGAAAAAGGAAUUAGUUACCGGAAAUAGGAAAGUGUUUUAACCGCGGUGGAUUUGAAUUUUACUACGCGCCCCGAACACGGACCAAACACGGCUGGGAAUGGGAAGUGAGGCCUCCCGCUUCAGUUAAAAGGGGAAGCGCGGAGGGGCCACGUAGAGGGACGGAGUCUUUGUUGCUGGGGGAGUACACGUGGACGGUACAGGCUGGGUCUCCGUUGGCGCGUAGAAGAGAAUUCUGGAGUCAGUCACUUCUAGAAAGGCGAGUGAGGGAGAAGGGGGACAGUGAUGACGUGUGUGGGUUUGUUCGCGGGGUUCGGGGGAAUGUACGGAAAUGCCCCUCGGAGAAGAGGGAAGAACAGAGAGAUAGAAAACUGUCAAUUCCUGCGUGGACGCGCACCCAGGGGGUUGAACUUUGACCCGUUCGUGCUUUGGGGCUCUUUCCGUUUGUUCAGUACUUCAGCUUCAACUUCAACUUCAACGUCUAUGGUGUAAAUACAAAAACCCUAACUGUAAUUGAAGUAAUUAAACUGAUACUAGUGACAUAAAUGUUUUCUUCUUUUUGUUUGGAUAACUGCAUAUUAAAGAGAAAGAAUGCUAAAGAGAGAGGGAAGAAUUUCUAAACAAAAAAUCUAAGAAUAGUCUCUUUUACGAAUAAAUGUAACCAAGUAACUUUUUUGUCGAGCAUAGUGCAAUAGAUCCUUGUUACCUCUUUAGCAGCCGGGAACCACAACUCAACUAGGGUACUUAGUUGCCAAGUAAACUAAAAGUGCACAACAUAUCAUUUUUAGCUCUUCAGCAAUUUGGAUAACGUCAACUCAACCGAGGUGUUGCUGCUGAGUACAACACAACAAAUUAAUGUCACCUCAAAACCAGUCGUAAAAUGGACAAAAAUGUGGUCUUGUUCUACUUAUUGAUUCACUUUUUCAGAUCGAAGAAAUAGUUACUAUAGUGUUUACACUCGCUGCUCUUGGUACAUUCUUCAUAAAAUUUGAUGGAACAUAUCGAGGACUGUGGAGUUGAAACUAAACUAUUUUUUUCACGAUUAGAUUUUGAAAAUAAUAUAUAUUUUCUAGUAAUAUUUCUCCUCAAAUUUUUUAUUUUAUCAAAUAAACAAGUCAAAUGUAACCACUAAAUUUCUGGAAGUUUAACUCAUGACCUCCUAUUUUACAAACGGAAAACUAAUUACACCGGAUCAAUGGUACUAGAUGUUUCUCAAAUUAUUUUCCCUAUAAUUUUUAUAAAAGUAUUUUGCUUGCAAUUGUAUAUAAAAAACAUCACGUGUGUGCUGCUCCCCGUAGCCCAAGGAGAGGGAGUAGGAGCUGUCGAUGAGUCUGACCAGGUCUUCUGGUUGAAUGAUCAGAUGGUCAGAAGAAGAAGAAGAGAAUGUAAUAAUUUUCCAAAUUUAAAGGAAAGCAAAGGGGGGACACCGCAAAAUCCUAUUUAUUUUUCCACCAUUAUUCAAUCGUCCAGAGCCAUGGAAUCUCUAAGCAAACAUAUUUCUUAUCAGUGACAAAUAUCCCCAUGUUUUUUUUUUUCUUUAUUAUUACCUCUUGGAUAUUGUGAAUUUUUAUUUUUUUUUAUUUUUCUUUGGGAAACUGAUUAUUUUUGGCUGAAGCUAGGCUGGCUCUUAGCAAAGCUUUGGAUAUUUCAAAGUGUUUGUUUUCUCCCUCCGUUUUCUGUUGGAUAGUGACAGUUGAAGUCAAACCCUGCAAACAAAAUGAUUUGCACAUCAUGAUAUGUUAAUUUACAAAACAAUAGGACAUGCACAUCAAUUUUUUUCCCAAUAAUGUAUUGUAGAAAUGUCUUUUUUUUUCUUUUUUUUUUUUCUGCAGAUAUAGAGAGGGUUUGGUCAGGAAAUAUUAGGGUUUCCAAGAGCUCUAAGUAGACCAUUUGUUGUUGCUACGGCUUUGUAUGGCAGAUUUGAUGAACGAAGAUAUCUUUUUUUUAUGGCAAGGCACGAAUUUGACACAAAGAUAAUUAGUUUUCAUGGUGAUCAAACAUUUAUGAAAACAUUCCUUGAUGAAUUUCGAGUUGAAAAUAACUCAACAAAACGGCUAAACUUUAAAACUACAACGACCUGAUAUAGUCAUUAGAUUAUUUAUCAUUAUAUAUAACCAAUCUUGUCACUUAAAUAUUGCUUGACUAUUGUACCUCAAUUUGGAUUAUUUACAUCCUUCAUAUCAAAGGUAACAAGGGUGCAUGUAAGGACGAUAGAAACAAUGAAAAUCAUCAUCAUACAUGUCUAAACUUUUCCAAUGAAAGGGACGGACGUCAAUUUUGCAUAUAUAAACAGAAAAUUGAUACACAUGUAAUAACUUAUCUAAAAACAAAGAAUCCCACUAAUUAUUCUUGGAUGAUAAUAACACAAUCAAGGGUAUUAUUUAUCGAUACCAUCUCUCUAUGAGAAAACUUAUGUGUAAAAACAGAUUCUACGCAUCAAGGUGCACUUACACCAUUAAUGUUUAAGUGCUCAAAUCAUCGUAUAAGAAGAUCGAAUGAAUAUUAUAGACCAUAAAUUCAUUAUUUUCAAUUUCAUUUUUGAUCUGAUCAAAUUAAACACUCAUAAUAAGAGUACAUCUUCUUCGACUUAGUGUUCUCACCUCCUUAGUUGGAAAUACUUGAAACUAUUUUUUUGGGUUUCAAUUUUGUUAACGGUAUUAGUAUAUAUGCAUGUAGUGCGACGUAGAUGACCGGAUCAAAAUACUGUAUAUUAGUUGCUUGGUUCACUUGCAUCUUGGUGGAUAGAAGAAUUUUCGAUCUCAUGAUUAAAAAGACCUUGGGAAUUUACUCAAACCGUAGCCGCUCAAGCUAAACUCCAAUUCCCAAAUUGCUUGUCCGGUGGCAAGCUCGAGUCGGCACCAACCUCUAGCUACGCAGAUUCCUAGACGAUUGUCUGAUGGGUGUUAUUAAUCUCCAACCGUGUGAGGAACUGUCUAGUAUGCUAUGAUUGCACUUUGGCGGCGAUCUUGGGUUGGCAUUGGUCUCUUGCCAUGCCAUGCAGAUUCUGAUAUGGCUGUUGGAUGGGUGAUCUCUAUGUCCAAUAGCUUAUCAGAGUUGCAAGUUUGGAAUCUUAGGAUUGCUAUUAGUUAGUUUUUUAUUGUUUUUUUUUUUUUAACAUUAAGAGUCUAGGAAAAAGGGGGGGGGGGGGGGAGGGGGGGGGAUAUUGAACCUAAACCCCAUUGUGCAAGAAACCUAAAAACAAUAUCAGGUGACCCUACACAACUUAUGCAUUCAAGCAAGAACCAUUUAGUAAAGAGUGUUUCAUUGGCAACUCCAUUUGUUUUGACUAAAACAUAGCUACAUAACGGAAAGUUACUGUUCAUGUGGAGACAUAAAACAUUAUGUAUCUCUGCUUUCCCAUUAUGUUGAGAUUUCAUCUUGUCAUAAGGAGGCUACGACUAUUUGACUAAGUAAGGAACUCGUUGCCCCAAAAAAACAAUCAUGACACUAUACGUGCACUUGCCAGGACAUAGCCCACGUUGCCCUACAAUAGAUGAGCUUAUUGACAGCAUAAAGCCACAAAAUAACCAACUAUAAUUUAAUAAACUAAAACCACAAUUAAAAAAGGGUGUUACUAAAUGUAUCCAGUAAAUUGCUAAAUGUACCCGGCAUUAAUUUUUUUACCAAUUAUAUCCCUAUUAAAAUUACAAGGAUGGCAGAUGAAACUGCAAUGUUUGAGGAACUCCUCCUUUGUCUCUAAUCAUUGUUCUGAUACCAAAAUCAAUUAUAUGGCAUAAAAACUUUUUCUUUCUUUGAUCAAGUAUGGUAUAUGAAUAUAAGAGCCGAACUACGAAAAACAUUGAUGGAUUAUAAUAUUAUAAGUUAACUUGAGGAGAAACAUGAAGUAAUGGGAGCACUCGGAUGUGCCCAAAAGCUUAAGAAAGAUAAUUGUUGUUGAUUGGGUUUUUUUUUUUUUUUUUUAACUUUUUUAUUAAAUAACUCACACACCCUACAUAUGUCAAUGAGAUUUGAACCCAUGACGUCAAAGUUGUUAGUUAACCACCUUAACCAACCACGCCACGGCUCACCGACAAAAAAUGUCCCGCUGAAAUUACAAUGCAAUCAUAUAAUUUGCGGUGAAGGUGGAUCGAACACCUGACCUUCUGUUGUUGAUGGGUUCAAAAUCCAAGCACUCUUGCUCGAAUUUGUGGUUGGUUACUUGGUGGUGCACUGGUGCUUCUCUAAGCCCCCAGUGUUAAGGUAAAGGAAAUCUGGAGAGUUGGAAUAAUCUUACAGUUUCAACGCUUCUGAUGUUUUCUGCGACAGCUUUCAAUUUGAUGAUAAGAUGGCAAUUUUCUAUGUCUACCUUAAUUGUUUUCUCUUGAUCUUUGUAUAUCUGUUAAUCGAAGAGAGCACAAGGUGCUGGGUAUAGUUUUUUAAUAUAUGUUGGGUGUAAAUAGACAUAUGGGUAAAAUCGACCAAAAUUAAAGUGCUAGGUCUAUUUAGUUAUUUGCUGGGUACAUCUAGCAACAUCCUUAAAAAAAACAUAAAAUAACCCACGUUGGCCCAGAAAUAAGGCCCAACCCUAAGUAACAGACCUAGGGGAGAGAAGAUCACAUGCAAUCGGCCACCAUCGUCCCAACCCUACUGUCGUUGCUGACGACCUUCCCCUUGAGCCACCACACCCCCAUAGCUGGACCACCGUCAUCCAGAGCCUUUCAGUCACAUCGCUCUUCAAGGAGGCCACAACAUAAGCUAGGCUCGUGUCUAGAUCAGAUGCAAAGGAACCAAUCCAGACCAAACCUGGUUUGAUCCGUGCCAAGCUGUCCUGAUCUCAUCCCAAUCUGUCUUCCUCCGGAUCUGUGGUAGCGUACCACCUUGUCGAUCAGCCAUGCACAUAGUGAGCGAACACCCAGUCACCGCUCCGCCAUCCUCCAAAUCGCGAAGGUGACUCCGCCACACUCGAUGGCCAACGCGAUCUCUCCCCCUCCUCGCCUCGCACAUUGAUGCCGCAAUAACCAACUAGGAGAACCCGGUGUCAUUCCAACCCCACACGGGAGUAAUCAAGCCCGCCCAACGACGACUAAGGAGCUCGCUGCCGGACAGGGGUGAAGAUCUCUCUUCAACCUUAGGCGUGUUCUAGGUCGUGAGUUUUUGUUUUAUUUUAUUUUCAUUUCCUAGUUUUAGGAGCUAUGAGUGAAAAUAAGUUUAAUCAGUGAGUCUAUCAUAUGUACUAGCGUGGGUGUUAUUCACAAAUUCUUGUUUAUUUGAAAAUGGUAGCGGAAAUAUAUAAUGGUUGCACUAACCCAAGUUCUAAUAUAUAAAAUCCAUUGAUUUGCCUUAAAAAAGAGUUGAGACUAGAAUUACUUUUAAGAAUUGAAAUUUGUUCAAUCCAUGUGGUUUGAAGUUGAUAUAUGUUUAGUCAUUAUAGUUUCAAUUUACUCUAAAUGGUCCUUAAAGUCACGGUUUUCUUUUCAAAUGGUUCUUCUAUCAAUUUUCAUCGUUAAAAAACUGACGUGCCCAUUAAAGACAUUAAAUAUUUUAACAGCCACAUCAACAAUCUAACUGAAAAAAUUGUCAAAAUAACCAUUGAGAAGGAAAAUCAUGACUUUAAGGACCAUUCAGAUUAAAAUGAAACCAUAAGAACUGAACAUAUGUCGAUUUCAAACCACAAGGACUAUACAAUAUUUAACCUUACUUUAAAUAGUUUAAAAGAAGUUAUUGUUUCUCAUGUGGAAUAUUUAUAUAGCAUGCACAGGAAAUAAAGAAUAAUAAUUUAUUAAAUAGAUUUUAAUUUGAUUUGUUUUUUAAAAUGAUAUUACGUCAAGACGGCAAAUCAUGUCAUAAUUUUUUACGCGUUACAGUAAGAGCUAUCAUUUAAGGACCAUCAACUGUUCUUUGAUACAACUACUAAAGUUUGCUUAUAUAACAUCUUGUAAGAGUAGAAGACUCGAAUAUUCGUAAUAUUAAUAAUAAAAGAACACUGUAAUAACGAUUAUGUAAUCUAAUAACUCACAUUUCAUUCUAAGAUCGAACAUGUGACUAAUUUUUUUAUUUUUUUAUUUUUUUUUAGAAUAAACAUGUGACAACUCGUAUAACAAAUACUAGAAAAAUCAGACGUACCAUUCAAAGCAAUAAGUGCAAACCACAAAGUUGCAUAUAUAGUAGUAAACCACAAUUUACCCCCAAAUUUAAAAUGGUUCUCACAAAUUGUUCUUUGAUGACACAAUUAUCCCUUAAUUUAUGAGAAUGAACGUGUAAACGUAGAGGGGAAUCAAUUCCAUGACAUGCUAGUUUGGACCUAAUGAUAUCCUUCAUCUGACGCAGCCACAAGUUGUGGACCAUUUUAUUAAAUUGCUCAUCCCCCAUGCCAACUUGUUGCCCUUGAAAUCUCAAUUUGCAGACUGAAUUAUAUGGUAGAGGCCACAAUCAUAGAUUGGUAGCAUUAUUAUCAUACUACUACGUGGGGACUGAUGUGAAAUCUUCAUACUUGGUUCCUCUCAGUCUCUCACACGUCUGCCUUUCACAAUAAAACUGGGAUGUGUCACUAUCCUUAGAACCAAUGAACCAUUCUUUUGUACAAACUAAGAAAAAGGGUAUGAAUCAAAUCAUCAGUGUGUAGAACUUGUACACAAAAGAUGAGAGAUCUCUCUCAACCGUAGACGACAAGCUCUUUUUUGGUUUCGUCCAAAAUAUUUAUCAUGGUUGAAAGUUCUCUAGGCGUAUUUGACAAGUGCUUUUUUUAUUUUAUUUUUAGAUUUGGAACCCAUGAUUAUAUCCUUUGGUAAUUAGAUGACGUUCGGUAACAUUUCAUGCUUAUAUUUUCAUUGUUGAAAUUGAAAUGAGAUAAAAAUAUGUUUGGUGAGACAUUUUUUAAAUCAUGAAAAAUAAAAAUGAAAUUAUUUUCAAAGUUUAUAAAGAAAAACUAAAAACAUCAGUUUGAUUUUUCGGGAACAAAAAAGAAAUAGUAAGCAGAAAACCCUAGGAGCUUCCGCUCAUCCUUAGCGCACCUCUGCGACUCCUACUAUCUCCCUUCAAACCUCGACCUCUCUCACCAAUUUUGAACUUCCUCUACCAAUCUCCUUCACUAAUCCAUAACUCAUGGCCUUUGAUGUCGUAACUGCCAGUUUUGCAACCUCUUUGUCUCUCGCUGACAGAGGAAAAGCUUCAGAUCUUAAAAAGAUCGGUGGGGGACCUGUCCAACGAUCACCAUAUGCCUUCCUACUAGGCAAACGUCUCACUCGUCACCUUGUGGAUAUGGCUGCUUUCAAGUCUCAUUUCCUCCAAACCUGGUUGGUGGAUCGUCAGUUUAGGGUUCAGGAGAGGGAUGAAAACUUGUUCCUCUUCUCCUUCGACUCUGUCUACGAUCGACAUAAGGUGCUUCAAGGGGGAAUAGUCUUAUGAUCAAGCACUUGUGGCUUUAGAGGAGUAUGAUGACAUACAUCCGUUCGAUCAGAUUUAUAUGAAAUAAGUCUUUAUGUGGGCUAGGGUUUCUGCAAUCCCUCUUUUGUAUGAAGUGCCGAAACAUUUUGAAUUGAUCGACAACUUGUUGGGCGAAUUUAUUGACUAUGACAAGACUGAAUUUAAGAAAGGAAAAGUUCACAUUUUGUUCUCUCAUGAUGUCUCAAAGCUGAUCCUUCAGGAACAUUAUGUUUUUUGGAGGAUGGUGUGGAUCAUUUUCUGAAAUUCUCCUACGAUCAUUUGAAAGGUCAUUGCUAUCUCUAUGGUCUUAUUACCCAUGCAGGUGUUUGCUGUGAAGAACCACCUUUGGUGAAUCAAACAAGGGCUAGAGUUUUGGGGUAUGCUAGAUAUCACAACUCUGUUUUUUCUGCUAGGGCUUCAUUUGAACCAUUACUGCAGUCUCCUGGUCCUUCAUCUUCUCUGGCUCCCAAGAAGAAGAAAUCAGUGGUUAUCAAGAAGAGAUCAACAUCUGAAGAUUUUGUACUCGACUUGGUCAUAUCUGACAGUGGUGCAAAGGAUCUGGAGCACAACUUUAUAGUUUCUGCUAAAGAUGAAGAACAUGGUUCUACUUCUGACCCAAUUGUGCCAACGCUACCGGAACUAGAGGUGGCUCCACAAAGUGAGGAAGUUGUGUCAACUCCUUCUCGGAAACGAGGACGUGAUAGAGGUAUGACUCCCUCCCCAGAAAAAUUCAAGACUAUUUUGGGAUGAAAGAUCCAAACUUCAACCAGAAUCUCUAGGGUUGGUGGAAGAAGCAAAGGAUGACGUGCCAAUAACCUACAAAAGAAACUUGGUCGUCCUUUGGGUAGUGAGAAUAAGAACCCAAAGUCGGAAAAGAAGUUUGCGGCUCCCCUGGUGCGUACGAUAGAAUUUCUUUGUCGGCUAACCUUGGUAAGGAUAUCAGCCCUUCAGACAAGGGCAAAGGAAAGUUGUAGUCUUCCUUGCUUUUUUGCCUACGAAAGAACUUAAGUUCUAAAUCGUCUAGUUCCUUAGUAUCCCUUGAUGUACACCAAUUACGGUCUCUGCUCUCUAGGCAACAUAUUUACUUUUCAAAGAGGGUAAGGGUGUUUAGUUCCUAGCUUCUAUUGCUCAGGCUCUUUCGAGUUUAUAAGUUUGCAAUGUGGGUACAUGUCAAUUAGUCUGUUAGAUUGGGUUAGAGUUAUUUUGGCGCAAGACUCUAAUUAAUGUACGUGCCUUAUGACCAUGGAUAAGUAAUAAAAUUAUCUAUUUAUAUUAAAAAAAAUCAGUUUGACGUUUUCGGUUUUUCAUUCUCCUAGUUUAUAAAAUAUAGAAAAUAUUUUUCGUAAUAAAUUACCGAGUGUGGCUAUUGUGACCUCCAUAUUUGCUCACUUAACCUCACUCUAUUGUGCGUUAUUGCAAUGACAGAUAUAUCCUCUUACAUAAUGACUAUUAAAGACAAUAAUUAUACAAAAACAAGCAAUAUAUUUAUUCUUUCUAGAUUUUUCAAUUCAAUAAUAGAUUAUAUUCUUUAUUAUUUUCAUUUUCUAAUUUUACUAGAUAUCAUUAAAUCAUUUACAUAUUUAAUAAGAGCUGGUUUUAAAUACACACCCCAAAUAACUUAAUACACAUCCUUAUUAUUUGAUAUUUCAAAUCACAUUUGAUUGGUAUGUUAAAUGACAAAAAGAGACAUGUGUAAUACAAUUUAAAUAUUAAAAAAAACUUAUAUUUGGAAACUAAUAAUGUGAAAUAUAAACCAAAUUUAAAAAACAAAAACUUAUUUUUGGAAACUUAUAAAGUGAAUUAGAACAAAUUAAAUUUUUAAGAUCGAGAACUUAUUUAGGGAAUUGAAACUAUUAAAGUAAACAAAAAAUUUGCAAGGAAAUUUGGAUAAUCAAUUGAUUUCUUUUUUGUCCUUAAAGAUUCAUAAUUUCAAAGUUUAAAGUGUCAAAGUGUCAAACGAUAUAAUUGUUAUGCAUAUGAACACCUAUUUCGUUAUAUUUCACAUAUUUUUCUUUUCACCCAAACACACUAUUCAGAUAUGUAUUUUUCAUCUUAUUUAUCAUUUUCAUGUUUAAGAAUUUGAAAUGAACAAUGAAUUUGUAAGGAUUUCUCAAUAACUAACACAAAUAAUACAUAUGAACAUCUAUAAAAUGUUAAUUUAUAUAAAUAUAUACUAAUUAUACAAUAAUAAUAGUGUUAAUAUAGUCACAUUAAUUAUAUGAUAUUUCAUGUUUUUUUAGAUUAAGGGUAUUUUAGGUACUUUGGGGUUGUGCAUUUAGUAAAAUAUCUGAAUGAGAAAUUAAAUAAAUGGUGUAUUGAGAAGGGGAUGUGUAUUAAGUUAUUUCGGGUAUGUAUAUAAAAUUUCUCAUAAACUAAUAUCAAAGCAUAUAUAGGUGAAAGAGAUGGGUGGGACCCACAGAGAAUGCACUAAAUUCUGUUGCCGACGCGUGUCCAUGCGCACUUUAAUGAUUUUACGGACGUGCGCCUCUGAACGGGGCUGUAUAUAUAUAUAUAUAUAUAUAUAUAUAUAUCAAUAGAGGCUCUACCCCAAUGGGUUUCUUAUAUGGGAUCUCGAAGGAAUGACUCCGCAAAACAGAUGUUGUUCGCUUUGGUUUUUAGGGUGGGUCAAUGUACUAUGUCAUAGUUUUAGAGGCUAACUCUUGAAUAAGUGAGUGAUCAUUGUACUACUGAGUGGUGUUAGCAUACCACGUCCUAGGUUUGAAUAUUUCUUUCUCUAUACUUGAUAAUUGAAAAAGUAAAGGAAUGUAUGUAUCUGUGUCAUUGUGGCUUGCGCACUAAAUGAAUUGACUUUAUUAUUUGAAAAAAAAAAGAAAAAAAAAGUCUCAUAGAACCAAAGGGAGAAUAUAUAUAGAUUCUUUAGAAUAAUUAGAGAGUAAGGUGCUCUCCCUCUCUACCAAACCCUAGCCAUCACGACUUUGGUCUCUAUCAAUGGUGCAAAUCACCAUCACCAUGCAAAUCAUCAUCCUCUACCUCUUGCUGUCUCCGUGCGGCAAUCAAUCAUUGGUCAUCACCAAGAAGAUAAACCUCUAGUGUCUCUCACCUCUGCUCAUUAAGCAUGCUUUCGGCGAACUUCCAAAUGAAGACAUCCUCCUUCUCUUACGGAGGCAUCUAUGGUGUCUUCUUAUCUGGGUCAACGGCAAUGACGGCGGCAAGGGAAGCAACGACUAUGGCGACGACAGCAGUGGCGUUGAGUGCGUCAACAACGACCUAGGGUUUGCUCAUUGGUUUAGUUGGGCUCGGGCAAAUUAUGUUAGGGUUUCCUUUUGGGCCUUAUCAGAUUGGGGUGGGUUUUACUGAGAUUUUUCAAUUUGAUGCUUUUGUUAUUUAGUCUUAGCCUAUUUCUAUGCUUAUGAUCUAUAGACAAUAGGUUUAUAGAAUCAAUGAAUAAAUAAGAUUAAAAAAUAGUUUAUCUUAUGUACUAGUAUGAAUCUCGACUCACAACUUGACUAUCUAGAGAUGAUAAUGAUAGAGUAUGUAAUGGUUGUUUUUUUUUUUUUGUAUCGGAUAAACAACUCAAAUGCUACAACGAAUCUAUCGUGAGUCAAACUCAUAACUUCCCACUUAUAAAGAGGAGACUAUGUUAUUAGACCAAUUGAUAUUGGGCUAUGUAAUGGUUGCUUUUAGCUUUCGUUUUUUUUUUAACCUUAAAAUAUUAAGUCGUAAUUGAAUUUUUUUUUUAAAAAGAGAGAGAACAUAUAUAUUUGAGUUAAUCAAUAUAUCCAAAUAGAUCAUCAAUUACACUUGUAUUCUAAUUUAAUUAAUGGAGCUAUUUACGCACAUGUAAAAGCAAGGAAAAGAAUAUAAUGAAUAAAAAAAAAAAAAAGAUAACUUGCAACUUUCAUCUUCAUGCAUUCAUACUACUUAGUUAUGGUCACGUCUAAACGUUCCAUAGUAUAAGAUUGAUUCCAAUAGGAAUUAUAGAAUUGGUCUUCGGAUAAUUUGGGAUAUAAUUCACUGGAUGUGUGUGGGGGAGAGAGGGAAUGGGACGUGUGUGCUACUGUCGCUUAAGGGCGAACCAAGUCAAAAUUAUAUAAAAAUUAUAUAUAUGAUUGAAGCAGUCUUCUUCAACUCCUCUUAGUCUGACAAUUUGCACUUCUUCCUCUUGUUUUGUUUUAAAAUUCUUGAUGAUGCCAUUCAGUUGAAUUAUUCUGUUGAUGAUGUCAUUCAUUAGCAUUCUAUUUAUAAAAUCGUUAUGAAGCUACCCACAACUACAAUCAUUCAUUUAGGAGGGAGUUUGACACACCAAUUCUUGCCUAUUUACAAAAGAGAAACUAAUGCCACUCAACCAAACCAAUGCUAGUCAGCAAGUUAUUCUUUGUAAUGAUAGAACUGGACAAUGUUUAAUCUUAUUGCUGAUCUACAUAAAGGACUCGGCUAAAUCCUACUUACCGAGGAGAGUUAUGGCAAACUAUUUGAUGAGUUUCUCGUAAAUGUGCGUAGGACUUGCAGCCAAAAAUGUCAAUUCCCUCCUUCCGUAUCUUUAACUCAUCCAAAGAUGUCAAUUUGUGAAACAACGAAAAUUAUACAGCGCACCCAUCUCGUGAAACAAAUAGUCAAUUUCUGACGGACGCUCUAGCCAUUUGUCAUUUUUUUGAACGUUUCUAGUUGGCUGAAUGGAGGCAAUCGAAGCAUUUCAAAGCUCAAUAUUUGGGGUAGUUUAGGUGUGUAGGUUAUUGUAGGGGAGGCUGUUUGUAGCCUUAUACUAUCCUUUGUAAUCGAAAAAGGAAAUAGACAGCUUAAUUCUUAAACCUAUCCACAAACCUCGAGAAAUCAAAAUAGCAGAUCUCAUUUGAGAUCACUCAAUUUGGAGUUGACUUCUCUUUGGCUGGUAUCUCUCCUAACCAGACAACAGCACAGUCAACUAGCCAUACUAUAUAACAAUCAACCUAGCCAGGUAUAUUGACCCUUGACUUCUAGAUCAAGUUCCUAAGACUUCAAAGUCAGGAUAACACCACAAGUUCCUUAGCCACUAACUGGUCAAACAGAUAAAAACCCAAAUCUUAAUAUGCCCAAAGUAGCUCCAAGCUUGUAGACAUGGAGUCCUGUAGAUAUGGAGCCUUUGCCCCCAGCAAUACAGAAGUUAAGCAUCUAGCAAUUACUUCCAAGAGGGAAUCCAGAUAUUAGCACAGGAAGACCCAUAUAUAUGUCUGCUGAUUAAUUGAACAGUCAUAUAAUGCUCCUUGGGUGGAAGAACCAAAAUAGUAAUACCAUAAUAAGACUAAUAAUAUUAAAUCUGUUCAACUAUUGUCAUGUCAAAGUAUUAUACAAAGAGUUCUGUAGUGUAAUACUGCAAGGUAGUGAAACUUAUCUUACAUAGAUGAGAGAUGCUUGAACAAGCGCUAGGGAAAUUCAUUAGCUACAAGUCUACAACAUCAGCUACAAAGAUGCUACCCGAGUCGCACCAUCCACCGACAACAUCCCUGUUCUGGCACUGUAAGAACAUGAAAAAUUUAGCAAUUUGCUCUGUCAAUUUUGUCGAGCUGUCACUGUAUAAAAUAGAAGAGCACCUAAUAGGUAAGUUAAAAGAAAUAUCUUGGUUCGCCAAGGUCAGAAAACUUAACAAGUUUAAUAAUUUGCACUUUGCUCCAUGCUUAUACAGACUUCAAAUACUAUGUGAAACUCAAAUCUGAUAUCCAACAAUGAGUGUCUAAAUUUAAAUAACAGAAAUAAAAAUAACAAGGAUGACUAUUAAAUGCAAGUAGAAACCAAUUCCAUCAAACUGAUUUGUUUGAUUAGUCCACAUGCAAUGUUAAACCAGAGAUAAAGCAUAAUUAAUAAAGCCAAUUUUCGCAUUAAAGGACAGUCAAAUUAGACUAAGAGAGAGCAGCCUAUAAGCGUCAUCUUGCAUAUUAUAGAAGAAAGUAAUACCUUGCUAAAACCAAGCCAGUUUGAAUCUCCUCUAAAGGAAAUCACCUUGCUAUUCUCUUUCCAGUCUCCACAGAAGACCUGCAGACACGGCCAUAAGGUGAUGUGAGGAGAAUCGAGAGUAACAAGUCAAGAAAGAAAAGGGUGUCUAAUGAUGAUAAUGGUAAAUCAGUACAACAAGAGAGCCAAAGUAACAUCAGUCAUGCUUCUAUUUAAAAUUAAAAGCAUUUGCUGAAAAACGAACAAAACUUUUGAAGAGCAAUGCUUCAUAUGUGUAUUUUUGCAAAUAUUACAUGAAGCUUGUAGCAAUCAAACUGCAUAGAACAGAUUGAGUUUCAUAUGAAUCUGGGGCUAGGUGUUGAUUUCCUACCAUAUCUGUAACUUUUAUUUUACUACAUAAUAAUACUGUAUCUAUAGAACAUGCUACAAGUCAUGACACUGUUGAGCCUGGACAAGCAGAUGCAUGAGGUCAUUUCGACACAACCAAUAUUAUGACAGGCUUAGAGCAAGUACACUAUUUCAUCUAGGCAGCCUCUUCAACACUAAUAAACUACUGAGUGCAGAGCAUUUAUAAAAGCAUUACCUUGUUAUCAAUCUUAUGCUAAAGAGCCAGAAUUAAUACUGCAGUAUAAACAACUUCGUUGAGGUCAAAUUAGGAAGGUAGGGCAAGCUGAUUGUAUCCUCAAAUCCCCAAGAAUAAACGAUUUAGCAUCUAUUACUUAAACAGAUCUCUGGACAGCAUAAAAAAUAAAAAAUAAAAACAAUCACUGGCUUAUGUUGAUCCAUAAUAUUGCAAUAUGAAACAUGAUUCCUCAUGAGGCUGUAAGAUCAAUAGCAAACCAAUUUAAGAACCAUAUGAGCAGCAGGUUGAAAUUUAGUCAUGUUCAGAUCAAAGUACGACAGAAAGUUUUCCUCUGAAAAUAAUUUAACCUCUGUGUAUCAAGUGGGUUAUUAUGAAAAUAAAUUUCCUGAAUAAUGAAGUUACCAUUUAAAAGAAGCAAUCAAGAGAAAAAGGACAUCAUUAUCAUGACUUCACAAGUUACCAAAAAAGAAAGAAAAAGAGACAAGUAAUCACCUCGUAAUCAACCCCUUGUAUAUAGAUAUGGUUGGAGUCAACUGAAGAGAAUGCAAGUCCAGUUAUCUGCACAAUGAAUGAAACAGCAAAGAAAAUUCAGUAGGUUGAGCAAAAACAAUGGCAGUUCAUUAUAUCUAAGCAUUUUGCCAACUAUUAAAUUUGUUUUGACCUUCUUAUGACACACCCCACUUUGAAACAAUGAUUGCAUCAAUUUCUUAAAUUAGACUGUCAGAUAACAUGAGAAUGGACUGGGGAAAUCUCUAGUUCUCUACAGCAUGAGGUGGUAGUCAAAAUACCUGUGGUAAGGUCUGUAGGCAAGACCACUAAUGAGAUUUACAAAUGAAGAAUUAGUUUUCAAAAGUUCCGGACAUAGACAUCCAGUAAUUAUCAUUAUCAACUUCAAAUUCAAAAUGACAGUCUAUUUUAUGCAGCAGGUGUUGUAGCAACUGAUGGCACAAUGACAUAGGAUAGCUCAAAGUCUCAAACAAACCCUAAAAUCUGUUUCAAGAAUCAACAUUUCUUUUACAAUGUGUUUGGAUGAGGGAAAAAGUGAGGGAAUUUAAAUAAAAGUAGGGAUUUCCCAAUUCCUUAGGUCUCUUUCUGGCGUUUGGACUCUUAUCCCAUGGAAUUAGCAAUUUCCACGGGAAAAUAAUUGUGGAAUUUGGGAGCUUAAAUUCCCGACUUGAAUUCCUCACAAAUAGCCGUCAUUUAUCAGUUCUCUCAACUGAGGUUAGUCUAAAUACAAAUUCUUGUUAUUUUAAAACUCUACAUCAUGAAAUCCAAACAAUGGAAUUCUCAAUUAAUGGAAUUUAAAUUCAUGGAAUUGUAAUUCCCAUGAUUUUAAAAUUUCUAUGGAAAUUGAAAUUACUUUAUCCAAACACAAUGUUAUUGCAAAAUCAAUUUAUUCAGGUUGCACCUAGAGGCUUUCCACAUAGCCUACAAUUUGGCAGGUGAAUGGCUGGGUUCUGGGAUAUUUUUCUUUGGCAGACAGCAAAAAAACUGGGUCUGAAUUUCUGUAGUUGCAAGCCAGAUGUUGAAACGUGAAUGCACAUUAACAAACAUGAUACUGCCACCUAUUGCCAUUGACAGUAAAAGAAGAAUGAACAGAGUUCUAUGGCAACAUAAAGUGCCAAAUGAAUUACUUUAAAGUUAUGGUGAAAUAACUUUGAUUAUGCUUGAAACCGUUCCAAAGCAGUAUAAUAGUUUCUGAGGAGAAGUAUUUAACUGAAAAAAGGAGUGUAAACAAAGACUAGUGUGUUUUAACAAUAACCUCAUAUUUCGAGCAGUGCACCCAUCUUGAUAGCGUGGCCCAUCUGCAUCAUAUAUCAGUCACCAGUUUUAGUCAAGUUAAACAAAAUAAAAAAAUAACUAGUUUCCUCAACUUCAGAAUACCAAAUGGAGCCAAACAAAAUCAUAAUCCUAAAUAUCAGUGUAUAAUUGCAUUGUAUAUCUUAAACAUAACUAAAAAUAAUCACAUACUAACAAAAGCAAGUGUGAUGACCUGACAUGAUUAUUGAACCAAAUGAUACCAACCUGCGAGGAUCAUAGAUCGUCACAGUACGAUCAGCUCCACCGACCGCAAUGUUCCCAGUUGAGGAACUGCAAACAGUGUAGAAGUCAUCACCAAGUGAUCCACAUAUUCGUUGUAGACAGCCGCCCUUUUCUUUCAUUCUCAAGUCCCAUAUACUCAGCUGCACUUAUUCCACAGACAAAGAUGAGAAAUUUAAGCAUAUAACUGAAGAAUACAGCUUUGCAAUAGUAUACAAUAAAAGUAGGCUCAACCUGGCAACCUUCUGUAACAGCUAGUAUAGAGCUUUCAUUUCCAUAACGCGAACUUUGCAUGAAGCACAGUGAUGUUGGAUACAAGAGUCUGUGAUUGCAACAUUAGCAACAGCAAAGGUUUCAGAAUGAUAGUCUCACAGUAUCACACAUGUAGUUGCAAGGCAACUUUACUGAAAGCUCGAUAAAAAUCUUAGGUGACACAUAUAGGUAUUCUAAAUCAUCAAUGAUCGAGAAGAUUGAGAAUAAGAGCAAAGGAUAACAAAUGCAGAAGGAAAGCAUAUUGCACAAUCAGUGAUUAUAGUGAAGUCUGUAGUCAACUUUAACAUUUAAACAUUUUAUCACUAAGGAAGCAUUAUGCAGUGAGAAAGACACCAUUAAUAUUUGGUCUUAGAUUAUGUGAAAACAGUACCUAUCAUAUAGAUAUUGCUCUUUAUUGAUUAGUUCAUAUUGUAUUAUGCUGAACAAAAUCGUCUAAAAUAUGUGAUCAACAAGCAGGAAUCAGGAUACCAUUUUGUUGUGAGAUGGUAUGCCUUAAACUGAAGUUUUGAACUGCCUCAGAACAUGACAUUUACAAAUUUCAAGUGAUUUAUUUAAAUCUUCCAGGUUUUGACUAUUACAGAUAAGAGUAAAACAAAUGAAAUUUAAUUUAUAUAAACUCAUGGUAAUUUCCUCAAGAAUUAACAGAAAUACUAUUCAGGCACCACAUCUAACAUGUAAUACUUACGUACAUAAUGUCCUAAUGUGAAUAUCCUGGUCAUAAACAUCAACGGUUUUGCAGAAGCUACGUGCAACAGCUGCCUGCAAUAAAACACCGUACAGAAAUAUAAGGUAGUAAAAACAAACUGGAGAACAAAUCAUGGGCUAUCAACCCUUAUUGAAUUAAAUGCUCAGAAAGGACGGAACAAAAGGAAGCACAUUUGUUCUGUUCAUUCAUUCUUAAUACAGGAAUGACAUCUCCAUACACAUACCUCUUUUCAUGUUUUAUGUACUAUGUAAUAUUCUACAAGUGUUCAGCUCUUCAGUUUAUUUCUCUUUUAUACCCAGCUUCCGUGAAUAAUAGUAGGCACUUGAGCCUACAAUUCCAAAUCUUUUCUUUUUCUUUAAAUAUUGUAACAUUGAAUUUACACCGGUUUGGGUAUGUACCUCAGAGAUUAAUGAAGGUGGAAGUCUGAAUUUUUAUUGACAUGAAAUAACAAUAAAAAGCCCUCCUGAACAAAAAGGUAUUACGAAAAUGAAAGGUUACUGAUUAACUCAUUACGCAGUAUACUUUCAAAAACAAGGUUUUACUAGAUAAGAAAAUACUCAAAGAAAACCUUACGUAUGAUUAUCAAUUGAUAGUAAAUGUCAAGCAACUGAAACAAAACGAAAAACACUUGGGGCUAUCUAAUUUCUGCACCUCCAAGCAAAUGCUUUUCAUAGCUUUAUCUUUUUUGGUAGGAAACGAACUUUCGUCAGAAUGAACAAGAGAACCAAUACAAUACGGGGGGGGGACUUGUCCGGGGGAAAAGUUAGAACUUAACAGCAACCAGCUACCUAAACCAAAAAUAAUUAAAGACAAGAUAAACACUACAGCAAUCAAAAGAAACUUAGAAGAAAAUUUGAAUGCCCAACAGCAGCCUCCAGAUAUAGACUUUAUACCACACAAAAAAUAACCGCUUCAUAACUUGUAUCCUUAAAAACCAACGAUUCUUGCUCAAAAAUAAUAAAAAGAUAAAGAUAUCUUCUAUGCAUCCGCCGCCUGCCAAACAUUGCAACCAAAGCACAUCUCCCUAGCACUGUAACCCCUCCUUCCUCCACCAGAGAAUUUAUUUAACUGAAAAUGAGGCUUGUUCCGGUGGACUUGUGUCUCCCUACACAAUCUUCCAACAGAGUUACAGCAAGUGAUAUGAACUUUUAGCACCUUGUUUACACAUCAUGUACCAGGGGCGAGAGAAACACCAAGAAAGCAGUCUCUUUUGAACCAUAUAACAAGACAGAAAUUUGAUUGAAUAAGAUUUAAAGAAUUGUAUGAAAAAUGUCCACAUUGCUUUAACGUACUAGGGAUUUGAAAAGGAAUUGAUCGUGAUUUUCAGCCUGCUCUUUCCAUGAAUCCUCUUAACUGAGAUAGAGAUAGGAACCAACAUAACAAUGCCAAAGCAGCCAGUACUCCACUAACCUCUCUCUCUCUCCUCCCUCCCCCCCCCNNNNNNNNNNNNNNNNNNNNNCCCCCCCCCCCCCCCAGAUCAUUUAAAUUUUUAAGAGACCUGAAGUUCCAACUCAAUGGAGAAGGUGAAUCUGCCCACAAGUUUGCAAUAUGGCUUUCAAAUGAAAUAUUAAUUAUAUGCAAGCAAAACAAUACAGAAAGCUGCUUAGCCAAAGGUUCAAUCUACCAGCUACCACAGAUGUUUAUCAGGACUUGAUGACAGAUAUAUCUGAUAUAUAUCGAUUGCUGGGGAGAGAAGAUAUAUAAUUGUCUAAUUUUCAUAAGAUUGGACUGCUAGCUGAAUUCAAACACCCCUUAUCUAAUUUUCCUAACACCAAAAACUUAUGCUCCAAAACAAAAGCCAAAAAUCUCCUUCAACACUGUCACGGCCUUCUCAAAAUCAAUUGUGAAAGCUAAUCCUUCUUCUUUCUUUUUUGUAACUUUCUCAAACCUCAAUUUCAAUUAAAAUCACUGCUAAAUGCCUCUCUUUUAUAAAUGCCCCUUGAGCUUGUGAAAUAGUACCUUCCAGCACUUCCCUAAAUCUUGAAACAAACUUUUGAACUAAUUUUGAGCAAGCUUGAAACUAAGCUGAUAGGGCUAAACAACCCCACCUCCGUAACUUCCACAUAUUUCAGGACUGAGCAAACAUAUGCUUCACUAUUAGUUAUAAAUUCCUGUAAAACUCCCCAUACAUCAAACUUGCUUUCAAAAUAUCCCAUCUGUGCUGAACCCAAAUCGCAACACUGCUGAUACAUUCCAAGGUGUUCCAACAAGACCAACAGUGCUUUACACAUUAUCUCAUGCUGUACCAAAAAGUCCCAAGUAACCUAUUAACACAAUUGCAGGACUUGAAAUGCUUCUUAUGUCUUGCCAAUUGACACGUAAAUUUGCCGCCUCACUUUGAUACUUAGUUAAAGAAGCCAUGACAUGUGGGUGUGAGCAAUCGUCUUUAUAUUUUGUUAUACUCAUUUAAGAAUGGAAGACCGACCACUUGAUGUUAUAUUUCCCAUUUUUGUCCCGAUUCCAUAUUUCAGCUGAUUUUCUCACAGGUGCAGAGUGUAAAAACCAGAGAGGUGUCAAAAGGAAAAGUAAACCAUACCAUGGACAAUUGUAUUGGAUUGAAGCAAAGACCAGCCCAUCCACUCUCUCCAAGGCCACAAUCUCGAGGCAGUACUGAAUAACUAAGCUUCUCUACAUCUGAAAGUUUAAUAGGUUACCACCACAAUUCAAAAGGCAAACACAAAACAGAGCAGAAAGGAAAAGGGUGAUAAACACAAACUUCAAACAAUAUGCCUUAAUUUAUUGACAUUCAUGCAUAUUGCUGAUGUUAAGGUGAUGGAUCAAAUGUGUAAAAUCAAUACAAGGGUAGACAAUCGGAUGCAUUUGGCAAAGCAUGGUUGCUUACUAAUAGCUGUCUACAGUACUCCCACAUGCUCCAAGUUUGCAUGACACUCAAGCUCCAGACAAGACAUCUAAAUUGGUAGAUAUUCAUUUCUUUUUUAUUUGGUUAAAAAGUUAGGUAGUUAUGCAGGAGUAGGGAUGUUUGAUGGGAAGAUCUUUUCCCCUGAAAAAUGUAGUUACUGCACCAUAGUUGCUUAUGGUUUCAAAUUGCCCGUUGUUUGAUAAUUAAUAUUAAUUAGAAAAGGGAAAUGAACCAGAGUUGUUCAAGAGUAGUCUAGUGUAGUUAAUAGUCUUUAUGAUACCUAAUUCCAUUAUAAGAUAAUAGAGCAGAGAAAAAAUUUUUCGUUUUCGUUUUCUUUUUCUUUUUCUUUUUGAUAAGAAACAAAUUUUAUUGAUCACAGUGAAUGAUAAAUAAAUAGUAACAGUGGACAAGUGACACAUCAAAGAGAAACAAACAGCAUAGACCAGAAUUCAACAAAAAAAUACUAUUAGUGAGAUGCAGACAAGCACCUUAACGAAUAUAUGCCUAGAUUACUGCUCUACAGUCGAGCAAUAUAUUAUAUAUGCUAGAAUUUCUGAUCUGCUGAAACAGAAGCCCACGAAGCUGCCAAAAGCUUCACUCUAACCCAAAGCUCUAUAAUCCCCGCACCUCUAUAAUCUUAAAAAUCCUUCAACUUUCUUUGCAUAAAAAGCACCCAAAUGCAAACUAAUACACCGCCGGCCAAGAGUUAGAGAGUGGCUUAUUUCUACUUCAGUCUUCUUCCAGUUCGCAGAACCCCACAACACCCUUGAUAUAAACAGAACUGUAUACUAAAACCUCACCCAGCAACUUGACUUUAAGUUGAUAGUGCAGGAUUCCAAAUGAUUUUUUUUUAGGGGAACAGGAUUCCAAAUGAUAAUUCUUUAGUUACUGCUUAAAAUACCAGCAGGAUCCUCGGUACAGUUUUGAAAUUAGUUUACAGACUGGUCUGCUAGUAGCAUCUCAAUGGGGUUUAGGCAACGCUAACAAAACUUUGGAAUAGAGUAAAGUUUUUUUUAGCUCUAUGGGCUACUGUCUUGGUACAUUUCAGAUCGUAGUUUUUCUAAUAUUUUGUUCGACAGGAAGACAGUUGUAGUCUUAGAUUUAUUUGGGAUGUCUUUUCAGCAGUUUACUGGUUUAGUCUGGUUUUUUCUGUUGUUUCACCCUGUUCUGGAGCUGUUGUCCUCUUUAAUUGUAUUUUGUGGUGAUAAAAAAAAGUAAAAAGAAAUUGAUGAUAAUAAUACUAACUCUAAACGAAUAAAGGGUUGAAAAAUUAGACUAAGAAGGUUGUCUUCCUCAAGGCAGCCAACAAAGUUAACAGAGAUUACAAGAAAGACGAAGAAUUGAUGUGUGUGGAACUGUGUAUCAUUUAUUUUGGCAUUGUCCUUUUUCACUUUAAAAUGAAAACGCAGAAAGGAAAGACAACUAGAAAAAACCCAAUAACCUUUACAGUUUUCAUAGUUAAAAAAAAUAAAAAAUAAAAACCUGUCUCCAAAAUAUGCAAAAAUUCCAGGCAAAAAUUUAGUUAAGUAUGACUCCAAAUAAUUCAACUCCCUGAAAACAUUUGAAAAAAGCCCAUCAAUGUCGUUAUCCUUUCUAUUUAUUUACAUAAAUUCUGCUAAGUCUCCACAUUAUCCAGAACAAGGAUAGCACAAAAAAAAAAAUCUAAAAGAAAACGUGUACCUUUACCAUCAGUGUCUAGUUUAGUUACAAUAAGGUGACCAUAAGAAUCCACAGUUCCCAACAUUGAAUAGCCAGUGCCUGCAUUUUGUAUCCAAAACAAUAAGCUUUUUGUCGAAAAGACAGAUACUGAACUGCUAGUAAAUUACAUACAUAUCAAAUACCAUUCUGAAUGAUUUCCAUGCAAUUUCUUAAGAAAUCUCUACAUUAUCUGAAAUGUUAUAUCAGCUUCUAAAUCAAAUCUCCUGCAUUAAAAGACUUUUGUGAAUUAUGAUAAAACAUGUUGGGGACACUGUCAUUAAAUUUGGAGUUUGAUGGUACAUUCCUAAAACCUAAUUCAGUGAAAAACUAUUUCUGGUCUUCCUUCAACUGAGAUGAGAAGAAAGUACAGAAUGCCCCUUAGAUUUGCAUGUUUCCCUUCUUGCCGGUUUUACCUUUACUCAAUUUCUCUCACAUCAUCAAUUUUACUGUCCCUAAUACUUAUUCCUAUUAAUUCACAUCUAUAUUUGGGCAUGGUACAGUUCACUUCUAUCUUCCAACAAUCCUAUUUCCCUUCAUACCAUACUUUGGGAAUGUACCGUGCACCCUCCAUGCUCUCUACUGCAUAAGACGUAAACAAGCCCUAGCACCCAAUAAUUGACACUGAUGGUAUGGAAAACAAUAAGACAUGUGAUAAAGAUAAUCUUCAAAAUGUAAACGAUAAAUGAGUCCAGAAUACACUCACUCUCAGUUUCAGCAAGCACAAUACUCUGUAUUUCUGAACGAUGCGGGCACCGAUUAACCAUAAAUGAGUUCAUAACCUUCAAGAAAUCAGAGCAUUGAUGAUAACAGAAUUAACAGAAAAUGUACCAAUUAGCAAACAGCCAUGAUUCAUUUCAUUAGAUCACAUACCUGCCUGUGAACAGGAAUCAGAAGGCUAUCUUUCCCUUCACUGACCAGAGAAUCGUCCAACGCAACCUUAAUUUAUAAACCAAAAAUGAAAAAGACACAGAAAGAAAAGACUAAACAAGAUCCUAGCUUUUCCACCAUACACUCGGACCAUUAACAUCAGUAGAGUAUAUCACAAAUACAUUUUGAUUUUGACAAAUGCUCAAGCAUUAUCCAUUCUAGUUUUCUAAGCUAUAAUCUUGUUUUUCUAUUGUAGACGGUUCAAAUUCAAUGAUAAAGGAAACAUUUCGCACUCGAACAUAGCUAAUCUAAUUCAUGUUUCCUUCGAUUUGUUAAAAGUCUCAGUGAAUCGAAGACCAGCAAAAUCACAUAGACCCAGUAAUCGGUGUAGUUUUCAUUCGGUAAUACAACAAAAAAACACUUAAUCAAUUAAGCAUGAACUGAGACACAAUCCAAGCUUAACUUUAACAUGCAUCAAUUUCGUAAAAUUGAAUCGAAUGUGAAAGAAAUAGAGAGAGAGAGAGAUGUACCUGGAGCUUGUAAAUUUGGCAACCGGAGGCGAUGUAGACCCAGCAAGAAGAGCCGUCCUGGCUGACCUGACAAAGAAUUGAAUUGAGCAUCAGACAAGCCAAAAGCCGUUAGGGUUAGGGUUUGGGAAGAAGUGGAGAGUAAGAAAUAUAUACAUGGAGAGCGAGGCGAGUGGAUUGGAGGUUAGCCGGAGAAGGAUGGUCUAUAAGAGAAGGCGGCACCGCCACUUUGGUCAAGCUCUUGGCUCUCAGCAUAUCUCUCUUAUCUACUUCUGCGAAUCGCAACAAGGAUUUGGAGUGCGCGGGAAUUGGAAUAACGGCUACAACGCUAUGGGGGGUUUUAGAGGCUGUUUAGGCUUUCUGAUUGUGCUCGAGUCAGAUUCAUUUCCUUUUUAUUUAUUUAUUUAGUUUUUCUUUUUUUUCUUUUUUGGUUUUUACCCGGCAUAUUUACACUUUGUUAUUUUUUUUUUUUAAACAUGGACUUGAACCCUUUUAUAUUCAGACGAAAAAUAACAGUUAUAACAUGACUUACUCGAUAGGGUAACGAUAGAAAAAAUCAUGUUAGAUAGCUCGAGAGCAAUCUAAAUUAAACUAUUAUGGAGUUUAACCAAACAAGAACAAAAACCAAAGUUAAAAGAACAUAAACAAAGUUUAGCAAUAGCCACAGGAAUGGCAUGCUCUAAACCUGUAAAAACGACCAUCUUGGAACCUUCCUACGUAGAGAAGGUUUUCCCGGGUUCCUUCAUCACCGCCAUGGUCGUCGGCAUCAUCUCUGGUACCCGGAUCUUUGGCUUAUGUCGUGCACCCAUCAGCACAGCAUAAUUGAAGCGUACUUCCAAAGCCCAUGGCAGCAAGUCCCAAUAAGCCUACAACCAAACUAUAUGGGCACCUAAUGACACUCCAUCUAGGACAACGUCGCUGCCACCGAGCUCCCCACCGUUUUUGUGAACCGCGACUGAACCUCCCGCGUCAGCGUCGGGACAUAGCGAGCUCAGAAACUUGCCAACUGUCUUAGCCAGCCCUCCACCUUCACAACCGCCACCACCAACGACCAACCAUGAACCAAGGGAACGUAAAACUAAUCGAGACCGCCACAUAUCAGGAUCUCCGAGCCCCUCCCCCGACCAGCACAGCUUGAAACGAACGCUCCCAGAUGCAUCAUUGUUUGUGAGAUUAGGAACCCCAUAGAAGAAGCUAUUAUUCUUUGAGAUUUUGUACCCUCCAAUGUGAACUCUAAGGAGUCCGACCUAGAAGACAAUGAGAGCAGUGAACCAAAGACUUUGAUUGCUCUUAUCCCAAAAGGGAAUACCCUUGUAGUGUUACCGACUUCAGGCCAAUAUCAUUGUGCAAAGUGGUGUAUAAAUUAAUUUUCAAGUCUAUUAUGAAUUGACUAAAGAGCAUGAUGUUGCAAAUCAUAUCUCCUUUUCAAAGUGCUUUUGUCAAGGGGCGACAAAUUCAUGACAACGUGAUUACUACCUUUGAACUAGUUUCACACGAUUCGGGCCAACAAAAACCCAAGUAUUGAUAAUCUUUUUGGUAUGUUUUGUGUGAGGAGCGUACCAGAAUAGUUGUUCUGCAUAAUGACGUUUUCUAACGGCUCUUUCACUGAGCUUUAUUAAUGGACGACCUAUCUUUCAAAAAAAAAUCCCAAGUGUUCCUAAGAUGGUGCUCAAGUUGGACAUUAGCAAAGCGUAUGACCAGGUCAAGUGGGGUUUCCUAGAGAAAAUGAUGUUGAAACUGGGGUUUGACAAUCAGUGGGUUGAUCUCAUCAUGCGUUGCAUCUGGUCCGUGAGAUUUUCUGUGCUUUGGCAAGGACAAGCUUUGGGGAAUUUCUCACCUUCUCGUGGAUUUCGCCAAGGGGAUCCUCUAUCUUCUUUCCUCUUCCUCUUAUGUUCUGAAAGGGUUGUCCAAUUUAUCUCAAAGAGCAAGUCGAGACGGUCAAAUUCAUGGUAUAAGUGUGGGGAAUGGACUGUCGGAUAUAACACAUAUGCUUUUUGUAGAUGAUAGCUUGGUGUUCUUAAAUGCCAGUUUGGAGGAUGUCACCGUAGUUAAUUAAGCAAUGUUUAUUACUAUGUUGCACGUACACGAACACUAACACGGCUACACGACACAGCGCGACACCCCGACACGAAAAAUCCAAAAAAUCUAAGAUCCGACACGGCUUAGACACGACAAAUAAUUAAUAUAUUUAUGUAUUUUAAUAUAUAAAUGAAAUACUAAAAACAUAAGUUUUGAGACCAUAUGCGGUUAUCAGCAAAGAGAUGUUAUAAUUGAAUGGAGAUUAAGAAACUUGGUGACUAAUUUGAAGUGGAAAAGGGAGAUGAAGGAAGAGGGGAAAAGUGAUAAAGGGAGAUUAAGUUGGAGUUUACAAACUAGAUCAAACUAUUAGAGUUUAAACAUUGGCUAGAAGGGAUAUAUCAUAUAUCAGCACUCAUUAUUAUUAUUAUUAUUAUUUUGCUGUUUAGAGGUUGUGAUAGUUUUUUUUUUGGNNNNNNNNNNNNNNNNNNNNUGGCGUGUCAGAUGAUUACAUGACGUGUCGGUCAAAGUGUCGGGCCGUGUCGAAAAAGUCAACUUUUUCUGACACGCCACGUGGCGCGUCGGACAACGCAUCAAGGCAUGUCGGACACCGCGUCAAGACGUGUCGUGUCAUGUUGGCGUGUCAGACACUCCGACACUCCGCCCUCAGAAGUGUCCAUGCAACAUAAGUUUAUUACUUUAUGAGCGAGCAGCUGGUCAGAAAAUUAAUUUCCAAAAGUCUGUGACUUCCUUUGGGCCAGGAGUUUCGAAUGAGACGAAGAAUGAGAUUUUGAAUUUUUUAGGAGUUUCAAGUGUCUUUCCAUGAGCGCUACUUGGGCCUUACGAUAGUAGCAAGAAAAAGUAAAAAGCAAAUGUUCAAGAGUAUUAAUGAUAAAUUAGAUUUGCAUAUGAAUGGCUGGAAGAGCAAGUUUCUGUAGAAAGGUGAUAAAAUGGUACCUAUUAAGGCAGUGGCUCAAGCGAUCCCUACAUAUACUAUAUAUGAUAGUGUUCUAACUUCCUAAAGGGGUUUGUAAAAUCUUUUCAGUCAAAAAUUUCUAGGUACUGGUGGGGUGAUAGCAAAGAAAGAAAGAGUACAUAUUCAUUGGGGCAGGUGGAGUCUUUUGUGUCAAAAAAACAAAUACGGAGACUUGGAGUUUAUAGAUUUCGAAGACUUUAAUCAAGCAUGGUUGGCUAACACGGUGUGGCGUUUAGCUACCAAUCCGAGCUCAUUGGUUCAUGGAAAUAUGCAAGCAAAUUACUUUUCUGAUGGAAAUUGGGUGAGGAAAUCGGCAGAUCGGAAAUCAUCCAUGAUUUGGAGCGCUAUUAGUCUGAUUUAGGGUUGUGACUUAUUAUGUCAAUGGCUUAGAUGAAGGGUUGGCAAUGAGAACAAUAUAAAGGUGUGCGAGGCUAGGUGGUUACCGGUUCCAUGGAGCUUCGAAGUUACUUCCCCAAGAUCUGGGGACCUAAACCUAAAUGUUAGUGAUCUUUUUACUCAACAUGGGAUGUGUAAUGUGGCUUUGCUUCAUAAUCUCUUUCUUCCUCAUGAAGUGGAAAUUAUAUUAUCCAUUCCUUUAGCUGGGUUGUGUGGACUUACGCCAUUUUGGUGUCAUGUCCCGUGUCAGAUGCGGACACAGACACGACUGGACACGACAAAAAAUGGUCGGACACGCAGGGGACACGCGCGUAUCUGAAGUGGACACGUGCAUAUCCGGAUAGGAUACACAAUAAGCAUGACACGGGGUAAAAUUGACGUUUAUACAAAAAAAAAAAAAAACAAUUAGGUCAACCUUUACUCUCAGCUGCAUAGCGUGUUCAUUCCUUCUCUAAUUCUCUUUAGGACAACGCAGAGACACAUCGUUGGGGAUCUUCUUCGAUUGAUUGAUUGGUGGCUUGGUGCUCCAGCUAGUGUACGGAUACGUUCUCGACUUCUCUUACUUCUCUAAUUUCUCCAAGCUAUGUUUGCUUCUGUAUUAACCUAUUUGCUAUGUUUCUGAUUCCUUUGCUUUCGAUCAACUCCUAGUAGUAGAUGAUAUAGCUCUGCAAUAUUGACUAAGUUUUAAUUUAAGAAACCAUAUUUUUAUUAUAUAUAUUACAUUAAAAAUAAAAAAUUAAAUAACGUGUCCAUCACGUGUUCAUUCUAAAAAAAUAAAAAAUUUAGCGUGUCCGCGUAUUAUAUUGUGUCGGAUUCGGACAGGCUUACUCGUAUCCGUGCUUCAUAUGGAACAACACUAAAGAUGGUGUCUUUUGGUGAAGUUUAAGGUUUGGUACUGUUAGCAUCUCGCUUUUCGACUGUGAUCCAGCAGGUAUCAGAAUGUAUUCAUAUUAUUUUGUUAAGACGUAUAACAAGGUCUUCAAUAGUGUAAACUUAACUUGCCCUUAUGGGUGGCUCUUCUCAAUCAAAUUGUCAAGGUAUAGAUGGUCAUUUUCGAAUCAUACCCAAAAAAAAGGUCAUUUUCGAAGCUCACCACACACAGUGUAGACGACGGCUUGUUCAAAAACAGAGCAAAUAGAUCACAAAACCAAUGAGCCUAAUCAACUCCCAACUUAAGCAGCUAAAAGGUGGGCCCUCAUGUUGGGGUCAGCUCAGCCUGUAACGUCAUGUUUACAGUCAAACUCGAAAUUUAGAGAAGAUUGAUGAAAAUUGUAAGUUCAGGGAUUAAACUGAUUUUAGCCUCAAAGUUUAAGGAGGUAAACUGAAUUUAAUCCUAGUAUAAAUUUGCAAAAGUGUCUAGUAGUAUUGCAACUUUUUUUUUUUCCAUCUAUUUUGAUUUCACAAUAAUCGAUGCAAUUUUGCAUUACAUUUUGGUUAAUUUGAUUCAAAUAGGUUGAAAUAACUGGCUUUUUCUUCUGCUUCAAAAUCUUGUUUCAUUAUCAUAAUGGAAACAGUGGUAACAAUCUACAGGUUGAUUUUGUAUCUCUGAAAUGAAGAAAAUGACCGGAAUUAUAAUGGAACAAGAAGUCAAGAACUGCUAUAUCAUAGGGACCAAAACUGCAAUCCAAUCAAAACACAAUCCCUCAAACCGAGUAUCACUAGAGUGCAUCGGUUGCAACUCUUUUUUGGACAAUAAUAUAGAUUGUAACUUCUUUUUUUUUUUAGUAAGAAUAUAGAUUGUAACUAAAACGAUGAUCCUGGAGCUCUCUCUAUAUACAUUUUCUUCCCUUGAGUAAUGAUAUCUCUCUUUCUCGUUUGUGAAAAUAAAAUGUCAAUUCAGUGCUAUUUUAAAUUAGAAAAAAUAAGACAAAUGAAAUAAAAGGUGUGUUAUUAGAACACUUGAGCAGCAAGGCUGAAUGUUGAAUGCACCUCCAGUCAUAUGGUGAAGCAUUAAAGGCUAUGCUUUUUGUUAAUAUCAUGAAACACACAGACGUUGCUACAAAGUCUUUGCAAUGAUUCAACUUGAAGCUGAUCAGCUACAUGCAGGCGAAUAUUUGGUAGACAAGCUGCAAAGAAACCUCUUAUAGGGGUUGCAAGGGUUGUUAUUAACUUAUUAUUGUGUAACAAAUAAGAGUUAGGCAUCCAUGGUCUAGAUAAAAAUCCUUGAAAUCUUAAUACUACUCAUAAUCUGGAAGAAUUUGUAAACUUGAUGUCCUUUCCCAACAGGAAAGAUGAACUGCAAAACAUGAAUUUUGAAGACUAUCAUAAGGGUUAAACUAGGGGAAAAUUGAGGAAGAGAUGAUCAUAGGAGACCUCUAAAACCCAAAUCAAUUGUCAUAAAAUACGUAGCGAUCAAAGGGUGUUUGUUCUUUGAGACGAUAUCAGUAUAGUAGGAAUGGAAUGGUUCAUUGAUUUGGGAAGAAUAGCGGGGUAUAUAAGUGAAAGAAUAAACGUGAAGACAUUUUGGCCAUAGACAUUUACCUACAUCCAUUGUUGUGCUAUAUGUUAUUCAGGCAGAUUUAUUUUGUUGCACCAGAUAUUGCAACUUUGCAACCUUGGUUUCUUCUAUUUGAAUUUGGCAAACAUUAUCAGUUUCCAUUAAAUUAUGGCUGAUUCAAGAUUUUGUAUUUUGUUCAACUUGAAUGUCUAGUUUCACCAUCGGAAUGUCUAACAAUCAACACAUCCAUUUAUAAAUUCAGAUUGAAGAAAAUGAUCGCAUCCCAAGAAUUUGAACUAAAGUUGGGAUAACAGACCAAAACUGCAACCUCAUCCAAAAUGCAAUCCCUCAACUGAGUUUUGCUUUAGUGAAUAUAUGGCAAUUGAAACCAUAGUCCUGGAGCUCUCUCUCUAGGUGCAUUGUGUUCUGUUAGCAAGAGAUAUUUUUGUUCUGAGGUUGAAAAUAAGUCACCAUAUUCAACCUAGUGCUCUCUCAAUCCGAAAGAAUAAAACCAAUGAGAAAGGUGUCAUAAAUUUUUCAUCAGUGUGUCUCACAAGAAUAAAGCAAACCCAUCUGCUAAUGUUUACAUAUUUGAAUUAGAACUGAGCAGCAAGGCUGACUGUAGAAUGCUCCUCCAGUCGUAUUUGCUAAGCAUUAUGAGCUGUGCUUCUUGUUGAUAUCAUGAAGCACACACACGUCUGCUGCUGUCUUCAACUGAACUCAUGAAAUCCACAUACAAAGAAUUAGAAGACAAACUUGAAUCUGAUCAGAUACACCAAUGACAAUAUUUGGUAGACAAGCUACAAAGAAACCUCAAAUGUGGAUAACUACGGUUUUUAUUGAGUGAACCAAAAUAAGAGUUAAGCAUCCAUGGUCAAGAAUAAAGUCUUGGAAACUUAUGCUGUCAUAAACUGUAAACCCUAAUUUGUAAACUUAUGUUAAAUUCAAAAUCUUUUCAACCAUCUUGAUGUCAUUCCCCAACAAAUAUGAUAUUAGUGAUGGUCAUAGAACAAGGAACAUCACUACCACUACAUUAGAGCUAUUAAAAUAAUCAAGUAUCACCUCACUGUCACCUGAAGUCUUCAACGCUUAUGUAGCACACUAGUCUAAUCCAUAAACUAUACCAGAUUAAAUUAAGCAUUAAGAUCGUCAUGAUGUGAAUGGAUGAUUUCUUAACGAAUGGUGAACUUCAGAAAACCAUAACAUUAAUAAGCAAAUAUGUUGAUUUACUGUUUGAGGUUGGACCUCAAGUACUCUGCAUUCAUUUUCAGGCAGAUUACACACUUCUAUAAUGUCCAAUUUAAAUCAAGGAGUCGCUAUUCAUUACCUGUAUACAAUUGACUGCUUGUUUGACAGCCCAUCCAAAUAAACUCAAACCAACUAGAACAGAAAGAGGUGUAAUAUGGUGUGCAAGACACAAUAAAACCUGAGAAGAAAACGUUCAGAAACCAUAAUAAUCUGGAACUAUCUCUUUUUAUCCAAACAAAAACCACACCACUUACAUCAAUCAAAUUCUCAGAUUCGUUCUUUGCAACAAGAAAUAGAAUGAUAUAAAGCACCUGUGAAGUGAAAAGUUAAAUCACGAGAAGUGGCAACUGCACCUAUUGAAAAGAAGAAAAAAAAAAAAAAAAAAAAACAAAAAAAACAAAGAGAAUACAGACAAAAGUUAUAAUUACCUCGCAUGCCACACAACAGUAAGCCAUAAACAUCCGAUUCCCGUAGUAUGCUCUGAAAAGCCAAUUAGUGCUGUCUUUCACAUCUUUGUGACUAGCCUUGCCAAGUAGAAAUGUACUGGAAAUAAAGGAUUUGCACUAUUAGUAAACUAAAUUUUUGUAGACAAUCUAAUGACCAAAAUUAUACAUUUGAUAAAAUGACAACAAGGAUGGAGAAUAACCUGUACAUCUGCAGCCAGUGGCUACCAAUAUCUAAAGCAAGCAACGACAGGAAAAUCAAUCCAGGCCUACAUUGACAGCCACUAGAAGCUAAGAUAAACAUGCAUAUAUAGUUACAGCAACAUAUAAAGAAAAUGUCUCACCGAUAGACUUGUGACAGAAUUACCAAGAGACAUGCAGUGCUUAUCCUGAGACGCAACAUAAGAAUCAAUAUCGUCGGUGUAGAAAAUUACACAAGAAAUACAUGAGGGUGGGAGGGAGGGAGGGAGGGAGAGAACCUGUCUGUUACCAUGUCCAAAACGGCUCCAAAUGUUGAAACUGCAUCAGGAAGAUGAAUCAAAUGAAAUUCUUUGUGAUCAAUUAAAAUUUACAAAUCACUGUUGCAGAAAAUAAAUCUCAUCAUAUGUGCCAGCAAAAAACUCUUAUUUUACCAGUUACCGGACAGUAAACAAUGACAGCACUUAAGUAGUGGAAUUAUGUAAGCCUCAGUAGAGUAAGAAGGCUAUUAUACAUUGCGAUAACCAAAAAAAGAACAAGGCCACAACCUGUGAAUCAAUGUUUAGAUAUCUAUGAACAGAUAUGCUUGAAAACCUCUAUUAACUAGCUAGCAGUUCAAGCCUAAGUAACAUGUAUGGUGAAAAAGGCAUGGCAGAGUCGAGAAGUGUAACCACCUAUGGAACUAAAAGCAAAUAGAGUUGGCAAGACUAAAUGACUUGAAAAACUUGUGUUGAACGGAUUAUGUGCUAGCACAGUUUGCAUUACUGUAGUUAUACUUGGUAUUUGUAAGAUGAUAGCAGGAUUUUGAGUUCAAUCACAUUCUAGUUUCGCAGAAGUUUAAUUGUCUGAAACUCUCAAUCACCUCGGCUCGUGUUCUUAUCUGUUUGUUAACCUGAGAGUCUACCAUUCAAUUUACAGUUCUUAUUAAAAAAAAAAUAAUAAUAAUAAUACAUUAAAAAAAAAACAACAGUAAGGUUCUCAAUGUCAGGGUUGCAAGCAGAUACCAAAACACAGCAUCAGCUAAGUUGUUUGUACAAAAGCAUGUAAUGCACACACCAAAUAAUUCAUACCUUGAUUGAAUUUGCGAGCACACCAACCAUCUACUCCAUCACAGACAAAGCUGGAACAACACAUUUUAAUCAUAUCUUUUUAACUAACAUACACAUUGAAUAAAACAAAGCUCAAAAUUAUGGUUGCAUAUGUACAAUGGUUUUGAAAUAAGAGGUUAAGAAAUUAUUUAUUUACUUGCCUUUUUUUUUGGAACAGAUGUUUAGUAUGAAAAUACCUUUUUUUUUCUAAGUUCUCUGGUGGAAUCAAAGGGAAAGCUCGACAUUCUAGUGAUAUACAGUAUAGAUUAUUAUUAUUAUUAUUUGUUUUUGCCUUGAGUAUCUAAACUCCACCCUACCCUCUUUUUCAAAUCAUGGAUUCUCAUUUCUCCAACACUAAAACAACUUGCAUUCAAACCUUUAAGAAUCCAAGUUCAAACACAACAUAAUAUUUCUUCAAAAGCACAUAUACAGUACUUCAUCAUUUUUUCCAAAACAAAUCAAUAAAAAGAAUAUAUUCUAACCUGACAAAAUAGAGAAUGGAGAAAAGUGAUUUGUUGGAGAAGCAUAUGGCAAAAGCAUAACAGUUCAUAAGAACCCUAAUGUACCCUGCAUUUCCAGAAGAAUAGAAAGAGAGCUUUUGGGUUAACCUCAACAAGUAUUUUGAAAGUAACAUGUAACCAACACAAGAAUGUCAAGAACAUUUACUCACCAAUUAUAUUAGGUAUGUAAAGGUAGACGGAAAGCUUUGUUAGCUUUUGUUGUGGUACUGAUUUCUUGGCCAUUGAAACUUGUUUUUUAAACUUAAAAUUAUAAAAAACGCAUCGGAUUUAGCAAAAUAUUGGUAGCUCCUGCACACACCCAAGAAACUUUCUUUAUCACAACCCAUUUAUUCCAGCAUUUCUAUAACAAAUAUAGAAACGGCAACACUACAUACAUCAAAAGAAAACAAUAAUCACAGAAAAUCAUCUAAACUAAACAGGAACAUCUGACGCAUUAAAUGAAUUCAAUGCUGAGGAAAAGUAGUUUGUACUAAAUCAACUUCAAACCCAGAACCAAGUCUACCAGACAGACAGGUAUUCACUGCAAGACUAACCUCGGAAUCAAAAGGCCAAUUCCCCUAUGUUUCUCCAAAAAUUGCAAAAAUGUAUGGGACGAAGUCUCGGUAGCUUCUGUAUUUCAACUUGGGAUCCCUUCAAUUCAAACAACACACAAUGAUUCACUGCUCUAUCAUUCUUUAACUAAACUAGUAAAACAGCAUCUAACAAGUUUUCAAUAUUCUCAAAACCUCACACACACUUUUCUUCUCAAACACAUACCCAUAACACACACUCCAUUCUCAAAUCUGAUACUACCGAAAGACCAGAGUCAAGUCCUAAUCUUGAAAAUAUUUCGAACAACGGUAAUUUCUAAGCGAAACCUGGAAAAUGAUCGGCUGGUAACGUAAUCAAAUGGGGAAUCGAAAGAAAGAGAGAAACCUGAAUAGAAGAGGAAACCCGAAAUGGGAUGAGCGCCGAGGGCUGUGUUUGAAGUAGUGGUGACUAAUACAGCACAAAUGAUAGAAAAGACUCGUAGCCCAGAAAUGAGUUAUCCAUCACAAGGCUUAUAAAUGGAAUCAGAAAUAUUAAUCUAAAUCACAACAUAAAAUCAGAUGCAAAUUGCAUUCUCGACUAAUACCAUACAAGAUGUAAGGAUCUAAUAAACAAAGAACAACUAAACUGACCAUGCAAAUGAGUUUCAACUUUCAAGGAAAGGUUUCGGGGGAGAGACAUGUUCUUCCGUCUCUUAACUAUUGAGAGAGGGAUGAAAGGUCGAAAGUACCCUUCAGAACUAAAUACGACACUGAAGCAUAACUUUCGACCUAAGUCAGACAUAUUUGACCAGUACCAGAGGAUUUUUUUUUUUUGAGAGGAAAAAGAAAUUAUAACAAAGAGCCUUUCAGGUGACCAAUAGUCUAAUACAAGAAGAAUUCAUAAGAAGAGCUAUCUCAGCUUGGGGAGGGAUCCCAUCAAACCAACACAUCGGUGAGAAAAGAGAAUGACCAACCGAAGCAAGAGCGUUCACAAGAAAAUUCAUCUCUCUGUACGUACGAGAGAAAGUGAUGCUGACAAAAGAAUCCGCAAAAGCUAAUACAUCUCGGAUCAAAGACUUGAGCUUCCAAGGAAUAGCACAAACCCUUUUGACACAGUUGAUGAUAAGGGAAGAGUCUCCUUCAACUUCGAUUUGGUUACAGUUGCGUCUUUUAGCGGCAAGAGCCCUUCUUUUAAAAUAGAUAUUGCUCAAGUCAUAUUUGGCACUCUUUGCUUUGUGACUGCACUAGGAAUGCAGAUCAAUCGAAACAAGGUGCUUAGAUGGGUCUUGCUCUUCCCUAUUAGUGAGUUUAGGUUCCGCUAUCACCAACCUUCAUCUCGAUUCGUGGAGUAGUUUCGGCACUACCAGUUGUGAUACUUCGUUCACUCUACUUCUUCGUCCCCGACACCAAUUUCUCUUAAUCAAUCAAAACCAUGAUUAGUAAUACGUCUUCACAUUUGCAUUGUAGGUGGGAAAUCUCCUGACCAGCCCUGCUACUCUUCAUACUCCAUACACCUUCCACCAUAGUAUAGAUAAGGAAAACCAUGUUGCUUCGGGAGACAAUAGCCAUCUUUCUGUUUGGUUUAACAAAUUUCCAUGAGGGUACCCUUGUUCUUUUCAGUUUUCAGAAAGAAAUAAAAGGUCCCAUGAGGCCAUGAGGCCAUGAUCCCAUCUGUUCCUCUAAUCAGCUAAUCCUAGGGUCUACACAGUUUUAUAUCAUUCUUUUCAAGGCACAUAAUAGAACAAUGAAGCCGAUACAGGAGAGGAAAUAACAAAAUAAAAUAAGAAGAAAAAAAACAACAGGGAGAGACGGGCCCCCUCUCACUAGUGUGCACUGAUGUUGUUCUGCAGUGACUUUUGAUACAACACACAACCUAUAUGAAAGGUCCUAGAAAGGAUUACAAAGAGAACAAUUACUACAAUCUCUAGUUAUUGCCAUAAUCUCUUCUAUUCACAUGCUAAUUUGGUGUCAAAGCUACUCAGGCAGAUAGCAAAGGCCUGAAAUGCAGACAAAGGAUACCGGUAAUCCAUAGUAAACAUAUCCUUGCCAACUUUACCAAACUGAAGUAUGAUCUUGUCGUGGUCUGAUGGAGCUGGCUGCGGGGGCUGUGAAGGUGUUGGUGCACCAGCUGCAGAUUGAGUCGUAGCAGCUAUCAAUUGAAAGUUUUUUACUGAGGCCACAGUCACCCGUCCCCGGAAGUUUAGGCACCAACACUGCAACUGUUCAUGCCAUCUCGGUGCCUUGUUCCGAAGAACCAAUGGCCUCUCUUUUCCCUCCUCUUCAAAACGGGAGGACCCCCCAACAAUAUCAGAGAAUCGAGCACUGCUAAACUCAGUUGAAGUAUCAAUUGAUUUUGAGAAUGAAAUGCUCCGGAAUGAGUCCUCAAGAGAGCGCUGGAGAAGCUCGGGCUGGCCAGGGACAGAGCCACCAGGCUCAAGGGAUGAGGCAGGGAUUGAGUGCAUGCUACAGUGCAUCCUGCGUGGACCCCUAGUGCCGAGCACAUUUAACUCAUAUGUCACUUGCGCUAUGUUGUAGCUGCCAGUAGGAACCUUAGGAGAAACCUUUUUUGAGUUAAAUCGACGGCUUCGGCCAGGUGGGGAAAGCUGAGCAUUGUUGUAUGGAGGCUGGGUAUCAUAAAUAAUGAACUUGGUGCCUAGAAAAUUGGAUCUGAAACAAAGAGAAGAAUGGGAGAUACAAAUCAGUAUAAACAAGAUGGAAACUACAGAAACUCUGAGUGAAAACAAUAGAGAAGCUCUGAGUGAAAACAAUAGAGCUUCCAAUAGUAUUAACUACCAAAACAUAUAUAUAGCUAAACAUAAAUUGUUAAGCUGAGUUUCCAAUAGUAUUAACUACCAAAAUUCACUACAAGACAGCUUCCAGCAAUAUAAUAUUACUAGCACAAAAUCAAGUCCAAGUCUCCCACAAAAUUUCAUUAAAAUUUCAUGUAGAGUUCACUUAAUGUUGCAGCAUGGCACAUGUUUGAACAUUUCAGUUUAUUAUGGUCUUUUCUGGAAUAACUUAAUUAUAAAUUUCAAGCAUACAAUAAAAUCACUGAAAAGACAAUUGACAAAACCCACCUCAGUUUCCCAAUGUAUUUGUUACUUGAUCGUGAUAUGUUAUCUGCAUCCAUGGAGAUCACAUACUCUGUGCAUGUAGUUCUUCGUGUUCGCUUGGCAGACAGAAGAAAUUUUCCAUUUUCAACAAGCAAAGCUGCAAAGAAUAUGCCAAUGGUCAACAGGAGAUCUAACAUAAAAUCGUAUGCAGCAAGUGCAUCAAGAUGCAAAUCAUGUUCUAGAAAGUUCAUAGACAAGUUAUUGUCAUACAACCGGAUUCAAGCAUAGACGGCAGAAUUAACUAUAGGUUCAAUAAUGGGCAGGUACAGUUGGCACUUAACUGCACUAACUAAGAAUUACCAAGUUCAACUAGGCCUAUCUAGCUGGUGCAAUUUUCACCAGCUGAACCAAGUGCAUUGGGCACUGAAAAAAGGUUUGCACGAACAGACACAAGUGGAAAUACAUAGCAGGAACAGUAUUGGCAAGUUAGCACAGUUUACAUCCAUGGAAUACGUGAGCUGGAUAUCAAAUCUACGCAGCUGGGCUCUAUAGGGUACAUCUGACCAAUCAAAAAUGGUCUUAGACCUUAAUAGAAUGUCAACAAAUAAAAUACAAUUCAACAGUGUUCAUAAUAACCUGCCAAAAUAGGACCUAUAGGAUCCAUGCCAAUUUUUGACAACAUGACAAUAUACUCAUCAUGUAUAGAGUGAAUUAACUAUACAUUUACCAGAAACCACUCUUACAGUAGAGAGCGUCUCUAGUUUUGGCAUAGACAUUCACAAAACUUACAAUUCCAAACCUUUCUAACAUUGUUUAUCAUGUCAACAGACAAAGCACAACGCAAAUUUAAUGCUGGAUUAAUUGCUCUCAUGAAAGGUUACAAGCUGUUGGAGGCUCUGGGAAAUAGGCAGGUUAUCAUUCAAACAGAACGUCUACUAUUGGUACAAUCAUUAACACAAGGCGACACACAUUUGUCAAGCAUGGAUCUGGUUGUAGGUGAAGCUCGAGAGUUUUUGGAUAGAAACUUAGAGUUUAAGGUACGCCACACCCCUCAUGAAGCUAACAAGUCCAUGUACUCACAAAUCAUGCUUUACAAUGAGGGUCAAGCAUGGUAUGUUGUUAUUAUAAGGGAUGUCAUUCUAAGUGAUUGUUAGCACUAAUUAUUUCAAUGAAAUCCUCUUUAAAAAAAACAAAUAAAAAAAACUAAAUAAUAAUAAUAAUAAUGAAAACAAAUUUUAUAGAUGAUCAUAAUUAUACUUUAAAUUCCUACCAAUCAUCAGUAUCUCAUUGAACUCCAAAAUACAAUUGUCUUAGAGACUUACCAGGGCUAAGGCACAGGUAAAGGUGGUAAGUUAAAUUCGAUUUGUCCCUCUUGAUGAAGCACUGGAUUGUUCCAUCCCGAGACCCAGGCUGUAAAAGACAUAAUUUAACAAUUUGUCAGCUGCCAAGUAAUCAAACCAACCUCUCAUUUAAAGAAACAAGUAAGCACAGACGGAAUGAUACAAAUGAUAAAGGCAGGUUAAGACAUUAAAAGACAUAGUCAUGUUCAUUUUUUUUCUUUUAUCUUUCUCAAGUGCAUCAUAAACAAGGCAGGCUCUCACCUGCUUCAGGGAAACUGGGAAAGUAAUCUUCCCAGAAAAUUCAGGACUUUUGACAAUUUCUUUGCACAUUUCCCUCCAUGACCUGCAUACGGAAGCACAAGAAACAACAUGCUUGCGAGCAGGCCAUGUACUCUCACUAGCCUCCAACCUUUUUAUUACAUCACGAAGUAGUUCAGGUGGGAGGCUAGCCCAGCGGCUAUUCUGGAUUACAAGAGGUUGGUCAUGCAGCUCAUGGACUGAACCGUGCGAUUUUCCCCUGUGAUGGCCAGGCAGUCUCACCUCAAAACUUCUUCUCGAUAAACUUCCAAACCCAUCUCUUACAUCUCGAACUAUACUGCGAAACGACAUUUACUCUGGCAUGCAAAUAUCACCAGAUGUUUACUAUGUCUUCAAUACAAGAGCUUAAGUUAUACUCCACUGGGUACAGCUGCAAAUCAACGAAACUGGAUUCAAAUUCCUGUUAUAAUCCUUAAUAAACAAGGGGAAAAAAGGAAGAAGACUGGUUCAGAAAAAGCACAAAGCAAGAAAGAGAUUCUUGUUAAAGAAAGCCUCAUUCACACAUGGACCUAAAGCAGCCUAAAGUAUCAGGCUUUAUCCAGAUACAACUUUCACUGGAUUUUAAAGCUGAAGAACUAGCCAGAAUACAAUUAAUUCAAACUAAAAUUCUUAUUCUGUAGAAUUACAAUGACCACCCUUCAAAAAAGAUAGACCUAACGACCAGAAAUGUCAUCCUUACGAAACUGAAUUUAGAAUGCCUACAAGUUGUUACUCUAAAAUUUGAUAUUCAAAAGCCUCGCAAGACAAAAGGAAUGUCAAUAAAAGCCAAAAUUGCUUUCCUUUUUCCUAUCCUUCGUUAUUUUUGAACUACGAAUGCAAGUAAGUUGUAAAAGUUUAUGGCUCUUCUACGACUCCAAUCAAUUAACAGAGAAACAGGAGGAGAGAGAGCGAACCCAGAAAUUAAGUUAAUGAAACAUUGCUUCACCCACUGAAGCCUUCAGAUAUCCGUGACCAAUAGCCUCCUGCAAUUAUAACUAUUGGAAUGUUAAAAAUGUUUACAACUUAACAAAUUCAGUCCGCAAAUCCUGAAAUCUAAGUAGGACAACCACCAGAAAAGUUCAAUUCUUUUCCAUCCCCAAUCACAUAUAUCAAAAAUAUAUGAAAACAACCUGACGUAACAAAACAACAUGAAAACACUUUAGAUCUCCUUAUCUUCUUUAAACUGGAAAGCACUCAUAGUAAAAACCCCAAAAACUCUAAAAACUCAUGAAACUAUGCAAAUCAGAGCACAACCCACAUCAAAAUGUGGAGCUUAAAACCCCAUAAACAAACUCACCUCAAAAAUUCAGAUAUAACCCAUCAAAAAUUCAAACCCAAAAACCAUAUACAACCCAUCAAACGCUUCAAGAACCAAACUUUCCAACACCCUUUAGAGCAGCAAAGAAAAAACUUACCAAUCAGAUGACCCAAUCCCAGGUGGGGGCCAAACAGAGGGAAAAAGCCCAGAACUUCACAAAAGUCGCGAUCCAAACACGGCCUUAAGAUUAAGAUCAGAACCAGCUCUUCUUCUGCUCUGUCUCUCUGUCUCUCUAAGUGUGAGAGAAGACCCGGACUUGAACUCUUUAUUCAAUCCACUUCACGAACUAAUAUGCUUUUUUAACUUAAUCCCCCGCAUUAAUUUAAUCCAUCUCCUCCUUGUCUUAAGUUUUAUUUAAACGCCCACUUGAGCAUGGUCGAGAUUACGAUCUCGCCCCUAACGGUUGACUUUUACCGUUUCCGUUCAACUCCCUCCGCUUCCGUAACCCGACCAACCGCGUUUCUUAUGGCGAGAUUCCAACGCAAAGGCCGCUAAACGUGGGCACCGUGCUCCGCGGUGCUCGGCCUUAUCCUGUGGAUGCAGACGUGGCGAUGAUGAUGACCGUUGAUUUGGUGGAAGGUUGGGAUUUGGGACGGGGUGGGGAGAUUAUGACAUGAGGCACGCUGUUAUGAUGGAAGCUUGUGGGAGGAUGGUGGAAUAGACGAAUUUGGACAUGGUAGGUUAGGGGUAUGGACUUGUGUGUCCCGUGUAGUUGGGUCUCUACGAGGAGGCCCCGUGUGCUGCCACGUGGGCUUUUUUAUGCGUCCCCAUGCAUGUGUUUUGGUGGAGAAAAUUUUACGUGUCACGUGUUCUGUGUGACUCACCAGUCACACAACAACACGUGCUUUUUUUUUUUUCACAACUCUUCUUCUUCCUUCCUCUCUCUUCUCCGACGAAACCGAUCCCCUCUGGCGAAGCUUGGGAGGUCUUGGAGGAAGGAUUGUCCUUCUUUAGGCAACCUUUAGGUUAAAGGUACUUUGAUCCUUGUUGAGAAUUUACUAAGGGUUAUUAAUUGUGUAAUUCUAGGUGAUUGUGAAGUGUGAAUGGCUUGGCUCUUUUGUUGUGUUUUGUUGUGUUGAAGACGCAGCAAGAAUAUGUAGAUGAGUAAAUCUCACCAAGGUUCACUUUGGGACCAAUUAAUUAUGGUCAAUAUGAUGAUGAUUAUGAUGAUAAUUGUGAUGAUGAUGAUGAUGAUUAUAAUGAUUAUUAUUAAAAAAAAUUAUGUUUUUUGUUUGUUUUAAAAUAUAUAAGCUUGAUCGCCAAUGGCUCAUAGGUAAGUUAAAACAAGUUUUCCUACUAUAUGAUUAUUAUUAAGGUUCAUGUGAUCAUAAUGUUUUUGGCUAUUGAUAGAUUAUUCUUGUGGGGAUAUCUAUGUUUGUUCGUAUAAAUAUAUCUAUGUGGAAUGAUAUAAUUUUAUGAUGUGCUCCUUGUGUUGAUUGAUGAUGAUUUUAUUAUAUUGUGAUUUGUGAUUUAGAUAGUCAAACUGGGUUCCAAGCCUUUAAUCGGGUGAUUGGUUACGGUUAUGAUGAUUCUACUCUAUUGUGAUUUGUUAUUUAAAUAGUCAAACCGGGUUCCAAGUCUUCAAUCAGGUGAUUGGUUACUGUUAUGAUGCUAUUAUUAUUUUGUGAUGUGAUAUGAGACAGUCAAACUGGGUUCCAAGCCUUUGGCAGGGUGAUUGGUUACGGUUAGGAAUAGAGCUCUAGUCCGUCUGUCGGUGUAGGUCAUGAGAGGUACCUGAAGGUAUCUGGGACCCAUGGGUACAUAAAUUGUUGUUAUAGGUCAUGAGAUGUAUUUAUUAAUAUUUGGGACUCAUGUGUACAUGUGUUUGUUGUAGAUCAUGGGAAAUACCUUAUUGGUAUCUGGGACUCAUGGGUACAUGUAUAUUUGUAAAAGUAUUAGUUAUGUGGUUUUAACAUUGUUGUCAAUUAAAUUCUUUGUUUUAAGUAUCUCUUGAACUAUGCUUAAUGCAUGAGAUUCUUCAAUCUUAUCUGUGUGAUUUUUAGUAGAAUUCCUAAACUAUCCUUUUUGUAGGAUUCACUUAUGAUUUUGAUUGUUUUGGGAAUUGUUAUGUUUUUUUAUUUACUCUCUUUUGAAUUUUUUUGUUUGAGGCGAUUCCUAAACUAAGUUCCUAAAGCAGGAAUUACCGGUUUUAUCUUAUGUGAUGUUGGGUUGAGUUAUUUUUGGGAGUUACUCAUACGGGCUUUUUUGCUUACCGGGUUUGUUGUUUACAACCCGGUGCACCAAUUCAUGGUGUAGGGGUUAGACCUGCAGGUGAUGAUCAUCAUGGUUGAGGCGAAUGCAUAGUGGUAGGGUUUGGUAGACAACAUUAAACUCAUUCGAGUGUUUUCUUUUUUUUGGUUACACUCAUUUGAGUAUUUUCAUUUCUUGACUUUCAAGUUUAUGUAAACAAGGAAAUGUAAUAUUUAACUCGAUGUUGAGUUGUGUUGACAUUACAAUUCUGCAAUUGAGUUUAGUUUUCUUUAAGUUUGUUGAACAUGUCUUGAGAAUUAUGUUAUUGUGAGUUAUAUCAUGCCUAAAUUUUGAAAUUUAUCCUUUGAAAAUUGGGGUGUGACAUUAAGUACAAUAAUUUGUAUCAAUUUGAAAACAACAUUUUUCCAUUAUUGCUCUACGUUAUUUGAUACUUUUUUUUAUGGUAUGUUAUUGAUGCGAUUUUGCAUGAUUGCAUCGUAUCAUUGUAAUUCUUUUUUUAUUUCAAUAAAGUUUCUAACCUUCUUUCACUAUAUAAACAAAUCAUAUUAAUUAGUUUUGUCUUGCACUAAAGAUGUGCAUGUUUAGGAAGCAAAGAAAGGGGUAUUUUGGUCUAUUACUUAACACUUUUACCGUAAUACCUUGAGACGACUAUAUAAGAAUUUGCUAAAUGAAUUUUCUUUCAAAAUAUUAUCUAACAUAUAAGUCGUUCCAAUUGUUUACUACGUGUGAGUAGUGAUAAUGUCACUAUCAUAUGAAAAUAUAAAACAAAUUAAAUAAUUUUCAAUGCGUUUAGCUAAAAUGGCGAGGAAGUGUAUGAUGCUAUUAAGUUAUAAAAAUUCAAAUCAUUGACUCCAGCUAGCUAAGAGGGGCUUGGACGUUGCCAAUCCUGAAGGGGCAAAAGAUAUUAAUGGCGGCAUGUGUUGGUUAUUUGUUUUGUAUUUAUCUUAAAAUAGGCAGGUUGUAAGCAUCACAAUUCACAAGUGGGGAGCAUUAGAAAUGGAUGCGAUGCAUGAAGCAUGACUAAAACCACAAUUGUUAGGACUUAGGAAAGCGGGAUCAUAUCAAGCAUCACGAUUCCCCCAAUACCAAUAGGAAAUGAAACAAAAGGUUUGCCUUAGCUUAGCUUCUAAUUCCUGCAUUGGCAUAACGUUUAUGAAAGGUCAUCAUCAUCCACACCUAAUAUCAACUUUAUAUUUCUUGGUAAUUAUUUUGGUUAGUCUUUUGCUUCUGAAAGGAAUAAAAUCGACAAUAGAAGAAUGUCACCUGUGCUAGAAUUUGAUCCACAUGUGGCCAUACAAUAGCAAGGCCGCUGAGUAUAGUUUAUAUGAAGUAGUAAUUGACUUUCGUCAUUACACUCAUAAUAUUACUAAUUUUAUGUUUAAUAGACUCAAACAGUGAAGACCAAGUCGACAGUGGAUGCAAACGUAUUCGGGAAGAUAACCAUUAAUAUUGUACAAUCAUUUAAAGAUUACUCAAAUUUUGGUUAUUAUAACAAAUAAGUAUACUCUCGUGGAGGUCUCUAUGGUUUUUCUAUUCUGGGGUGAGUGACCUAAUAUCUUUAGUGAGGCUACUAAAUUAUUGUUGAAGAUUCAUUAUGGGAGAUAUUGAGAAGUCUGAAAUGAUUUUAGAUUUUUUAUUUUUAAUUUUGAAAUAGUCAGUUACGACUUUUAUAUAUUUUAGGUAAAACGAAGACCAGAAGUAACUAUUACACUAUCAUCUAUAAUAGACAAAUAGUUGUAAGGAUAUGAUAGAUUACUCUUUAAUCGUAUUCACUCAUAGGGCCCUCUUUAAUUGUAUUCACUCGUAUCCUAAAAGAUGAACCUACAGAAAAUAGAACAAAUUGAAACAAAACUAGAAACAAAACAAGACUAAAAAUAGUUAAUAAACUAGAGCCAAAAAACCCAAACCCAAAAGAUAGAGACCCUAUAAAACAGCACCCAGGGGAGAUCCACUUCUCCUCAACACCAGAUCGCCUCCAAACAUGGUUGUACCUCGUUCCAAAGCAAACCCCAAUCCAGCCCCAGCAACAAGAGACACCACCGAUUUAGACCGCUGGCCUCGCCGUCUAAGACAUUUCCUCAGGGAUCGACAUCGCAUCUGCAUAGCACACCCAUCACCGAACACUGCCCAACCAAAAACAACUGACAAAACCAAAACAAAACUCUCCUCAAACCACCCCAUUGAGCGAUAGAAGUCGACAAACCUCAAAUUAUUGAAGGAUAGAAUCGAAUCUGAUCAAAUCUGAUCCUCCUAACCCUUGUGCAUAGAACCACACCAAGGAAAGUCCAAGGGCAAUUGCACCGAUGCUCCCGUCCGACAGCAACCGAAAAGCCAGGCUGGAGGCCUGCUCCAGUCGCUGCCGGAUGAGACCCGAAUAGAUGAGUUGAGCUGCCGCCUUCUAUGGUUUAGGUGAUGUUAUUGAAAGGAUUCAAGAUUAAGCUAACAGCAAAGCAGGAAAUUCAACUCAACCUUGAGAAGCCUGCCACCAAAUAAACCAUAUUUCAGCAUCUAUUAUUUACCCAGAACCCAAGUUGUGGGAGAAAAACCAUGCACCAGAACUCAUAAUUCCUGUGUCACUUGAUCGCUUCUAAGACUACAAUCAGUAUUUUAGUUUACACCACCCUUUGGGACAAAUCGAGCUCAAUUGAAUCCUGAUAUUCAAAUUAAUCAUAAGCUUGACCUCGGAACAUUCUAACCUGGUUUAAAAGUUAAAAUCUUGUUUAAAAAUGUAACAGCAUCUCCAAUUCCAGUGUACAGUAACAACAUAGUAGAUGUUGCAACAGUAUCUUCGACUUCAAAUUGCAAAAACCAACCUUUCCGACCGUACAUAUCAGCCUGAAAACUUACUGAGCACCUAAACCCUAAAACAAGAUAAUAAUCAUUACCCACUAACUCCCUUCUUCUAAGUUCGAUAAUCACUGCCUCUCACGAACUGAGGCAACUAGAUUCCAAAUAGAACUCGUUUUCCACCAGCAUAAGCCUCAACAUCAAAGUUGAUGUGAUAACUAAGAUCUACAAUUAGUGCUCAAACACCAUAGGACUUCCCCUGCAUGCGCAAGGCCUAAGCAAACGUAUCCAGGAAGACAACCAUUUAUACUGUAGAAUCAUCUGAAGUUGCUCAAAUUUUGGUUAUAAUAUAUCUAUCUGAUUAACAAACAAGUAUACUCUUUAUGGUUUCUCUAAUCUGGGGGGAGUGACCUAACACCUUCUGUAAGGCUAGUGAAUUAUUAUAGUAAAUGUUUUUAUUUUUUAUUUAACACCACAAUCACCAAGAUCCAAACUAAAUUCAUUCUUUCUCUGAAUCCCAUUUUCGGAAGAUAUCUAAUCCCAUCAAGGAUCAGAAAAUAAUUGCACCCAGAUCACAACCAGAACAUCAUUGAUGGGAAAUGCCAACAAUCGUAUGCCAUUCAAAGUAAACACUCCCAAGUAAAAAGACCUUAGUAAGAAAUACCCACGAUAUCAGUUUCAUUGCCACAACGAGGUCACAAUUCACAAAAUAGCAUUCAUCUCCCCUGUUAGCCGUUGAACCUUUCUCUCUGCACACAUGCUUCAGAAAAACAGUUCAAUUCUGCUCAUCAGUUUUUGUCAACAAAUAACUAAACCAAACAGAAGGGGUACAAUCAUUGUAAGGGUACAUGAUUAACCUAAACCCUAAAUCCAACUCAACCUUGAGAACGUCUGCCAACAGAAUUCCAAAAUCAUGGCAACCCCCAAAAGAGAACCCAUAUUUCAGCAUCUGUUAUCUACCCACAACCGAGGUUGGCAGAAAAACCCUGCAUCAGAACUCAUAAUUCCUGCGUCACUUGAUCUCUUCUAAGACUACAAUCAAUAUUUAUGUUAGACCACCCUUUAGGACAAAUCCAGCUCAACUGCACCAUGAUAUUAGCUGUAGCAAGUUCAUAUUCUUAAUGGAUUCAUAUUAUUCAUAAGCUUGACCUCAUAGAACAUUCAAACCUUAUUAAAAAAUGUAACAGCAUCCCCAAUUCCAAUGUACCAUAAUAAAUCUCGUUUUCCAGUGGCAUAAGCCUCAACUUUAAAGUUGAUGUCAUAAGCAGACUAAAACUGAGAUCUACAAUUAGGGCUGAAACACCAUAGAGCUGCCACUGCAUGUAUUCCCAAGAAUUUAGCAAUCACAUCAGAAAACUCUUGAAGAAGUGAAAAUCACCCAUUACAAGAGAAACAAUCAGAGGGCAAGAAAAUGUUACAAAGGUGUAAAUCACCAUUGUUAGUGAAACAAGUAGAUGCAAGCUAUCUUGAUUAAGCAGAUGCAAGAGCAGGGGAUACAUAGGACACACUAUGAUGGAGGAUGAUAACUACGAGUCCAGAAAUUGCUUAGGCUGUUUGAGCUUACCAUAUUAAGCAAUUAAUAUGUUAUUUUCUAUUGAUCAUUCUAUCUACUAAACAAAACCUCAUCACAAUAGUAUAAUCAACUUUGGCAUCCUACCAGUUAUAGUACUAAAUUUUCAUCUCCAUGAGGUUGUAAUCUUGGAAAAUAAAAGAACUCAUAUGAACUAAGCAUCCUUCUAAAUCUAAUUAAAAUAAUUUCCCUUUAAUUUCCCUUCUAAACCCUAAACCCUAAUAUCAGCUACGGUAUACAGGAAAGGGCAACUUCAAAACACAUAACCAAAAUGACACUAAACUCGAAUAUCCAAACAAAUGAAGUAAAUAAGGGGAUAGAAAACACACUAUAAAUCCAACGAACUGAUAGAUUGUAUUCUUACUGAACUUCUUUUGUGUAGAUGCAAAAAACUAUAUCAAAUUUGUAAUAAGUAUUUGAAUUACAAGAACCAAGUAAUGCUAAUCCACUUGAGCUUUGUAAAUUUACUAUCUGUGACUUAAAUGCCGAGCUUUUAUAUCUAUCAACGAAUAUCAUGUGGGUCGUACAAGACGUGUUAAUUAACACUUUUCGCAUGCCAUUGAUUGAAUAUAUUGCACACAGGUAUCAUAACAGACACAUAAAUAAUAACAUAUGCAGGUUCACCUGAAAAUCAGUUUGGCUCCCUUCCUCAGUUGACCACAUAGGGACUGAAUCACAUGAAAAUCAAAACGAGAUAACAAUUCUCAUCAACAAUUGUCUCAGUAAUUAAACAGAAAAUGAAAAGCAAGAAGUAUAAAGAGCAACUAAGCUACCAUAGAGUAAACGGCAUUGCAUUAUCAGUUGUCCUCAGCAAUCUUUCAGAGAUGCCUAACUGAUGCUACACUGCUGCCUGGCAAGGUGGAUAAGCAGGCUUCUGUUACCAGGAACCACUAUGAUGGAGGUGACCCAGACACUGUAUACAUAAUACAGAUAGAAUAUAUAAAAGUAUGCAGCAGUGGCUUUAAAAAAUCUAUUUCUGCAUUAAAAUCUGAUUGAUAGCCAUGUUCUAACACAUAGCAAAAAGGAAAAAUAAAAAAGAAAUAACAAAAGCAAAAGAAGAAAUGAACAGGUAUCAGAAUAUCUUACAAAACCAAUAAACAGAAUAAACAUUCCAAACUAAUAUCAUCAUGAACAUCUUACUAAUUAUAAAUGGGCCUCAGAACUAAGCAAUAUUUAGAAACAAAAGACGACAGUAAAAAAAUUAAUUGUUCAGUACAGCAGGAUCCCUAUUAAAAUUUAGAUGAGCAUAAUCCUAUUCAAAGAAACUCACUUCCUUAGUUCCAGCUGAAGCAAAGAUAUCCGGGCCACUAAACCACCGUCAUGAGAAACAGUAUGUUGGGCAUUCUUUAAAGGAGUCUGUUGAGCUCCAAAUUUCUCAAUGCGUAAAGAUAGUGUCAUUACGUCUAGGUGGCCUAUCAGGAAUUGAACCAGGCUUGAACUUCGAGGCUUCAUGUUUUGCCAGUUCAGGAGGAACAUGACUGUUACUCUGAAUGAGCAUCUGCUUGAGAUCAUAAAAGACAUCAGUGUCGUGAAUUGUUAACAGUGAUGUGGCAAUACCAGUCUUCCCUGCACGUCCAGUACGUCCAAUACGAUGGGUGUAUGUUUCAAUACUCGAGGGCAUAUCAUAAUUAAUCACAUGGGCCACAUCAGGUAUAUCAAUACCACGGCCUGCAACAUCAGUUGCAACAAGGACAUUGUAUCUCCUGGUCCUGAAACCCUCAAGGCUAAUUUCUCUCUGGUCUUGUGAUUUCCCCCCAUGCAAAGUGGUCACACGAUAUCCGUUCUUAUCCAAACUCUUGGCUACAUAAUCAGCAGUUUUCUUAGUGUUAACAAACACAAUAGCAGUCUUAUCACCAAGUUCAUCAAGCAAUCUCUUUAGCCUCUCAAACUUCUCUGCAUCCUUACUCCAGACCACAUUCUGAGUGAUCAAAUCAGUAGUCUUUCCAGCUGUGCCAAUUGUGACCACAACAGGAUUCCUCAAAUACUUCCGAGCAAGGCGUUCCACCGCAGGAGGCAUGGUGGCACUAAACAUAUAAGUGGUUCUGUAAAUCUUCUUGUCAUCAAGCUCUUCAUCCUCAUUCUCAGGUUUGAAAUUGCUGGAAGGCAUUGCAUCCAAAACACCCACAACCUGUGGCUCAAACCCCAUAUCAAUCAUCCUAUCAGCCUCAUCAAGAACAACAUAAUUGCACUGAUUCAAAACAGCAUAACGCCUCUCCAAACAAUCAAUCAACCGCCCAGGUGUAGCAAUAACAACCUCACACCCUUGCCUAAUUUUAAAACCCUGUUCCUCAAUUGACUGUCCACCAACAAUAGAAACAACUUUAAUACCCAAGUAAUGCGCAAACUUCACAGUCUCUUCCUCAAUCUGCUGUGCAAGCUCACGAGUAGGUGCCAUAACAACAGCAUAAGGCCCUUCAGCCUCAUUCUCUUCGCUAAUAGGAGGCAACCUAGAAAUAUAUGUCAACAUCGGAAGAACAAACGCAGCAGUCUUACCAGAACCAGUCUCCGCAAUGCCAAUAACAUCACGCUGCUGCAGACCCAGAGGAAUAGCCGCCAUCUGGAUCGGAGAAGGUUUCUUAUAACCAGCCCUCUCCACAGCCUUGAGCAGCUCCGUACUCAGUCUACUCUCACCCCAACUCCUCAUAGGGCGAGGAAUCCUAGACCCUUUGUAGGAAAUAUUGAAAUCCUCUCGGAAUAUCCUCCAGUCCCUCUCAGUCAUCUCCUCCAGCUUCUUAUCAGUCCAAUGCCGAUCCACUCUCAUAUCGAAAGUAUCAUACAGCUCCGCAGCCUCCUCCUUCAGCCUCUGAGCCGCAGCCUCCUCCGGCCUCUCCUCUACGCCAUCCUUCUUCCUAAUCUCAUCCCUCAGCUCCCUCUCCUGCUUCACCGCAAGCUUCUUCUGCUCCCUGCGGUCCAUUCCAGCACGAAACCCUCGCCCGAACAGGAGCUGAGCCUCAUGAGGAUUCUGAUACAAAGCAUUCAUAUCACGCGAAGUGUCCUCUGUGUUCUCCCAAUCGAAAGAGAAUCGGAACUUCUCGCUAGGCUUAAUCACGCGCUUCUUCGGCUUCUUCGAGCCAAGGUACUGCUCUUUAAUGGCCUCAAGCUCCUUAUCACGCUCCCGGUCAGCUAGCUUGUCCAAUCGGGCCCGCUCUCUCGCUUUGGCCUCCUCUUCGCGCUCCCUCUCGCGGUUGUCACGGUCACGGUUGCGCCGCUCCGUUUCGCGCUCCCGGUCUCUCUCCCGGUCGCGAUCUCGAUCGCUUCGGGAGUACCGGUCCCGGUCCCGGUCCCGGUCUCUGUCUCUGUCUCUGUCUCGGUCCCUAUCGCGGUCCCGGUCGGAAUUGGAGUUGUUGGGGACGGAAUCGGAGGAGCGGAGAUUGGAGAGGAGCUGGUGCUGGCGGCGUUUCUGUUCCUCGUGUUCUUCUUGGCGGCGUUGUAGGGCUAGCUUCUCGCGCUCGGCUUUGGUUAAGAAGACGGGUUUCUUCGGCGGCAAGGAUGAAGAGACGGCGGCGAGGCCAUCGCCGGAGCGUUUCAUUGUACAGAAAAGGUUUAGGGUUUCGGGAUAAAAUUAAAUUUCUGAUGUUGUUUCGAUGCCUUCGGGAGCCUUGAAGAAAAUUGAAGAGGAUCGGAGUUUAAGUUUAUAUAGUGCGACACUGGGCUGCAUCAAAAUGGGCCGCCAAAAUGGAAAAUGGGCCUGGGCCUCACAACAGUUUUUGCAGCAACACAAGUAAAAUGCUCCAUACUCGUAAUCGGAAUAAAAAUAUAAAGGAUGCUGCUAAAUGUAUCAAACAAAUUAAGAUAGAGGAGAGGUCGAGAAGAGAGGAGCUCCAAAAAAUCUGGGCUUCAACAACAUCUAGGGCUUGUGAGUUCGAUGCUCGUUCGGCGGCUCCCGUCUUAAUUUGGGCUUGCUACUGGAUGGGUGAUGGAAUUAUAAGGGCUUCUGGGGAUCGUGGAUGCUGUUUGCUCGAGGUUCCAUUGUUGUUUUAGCAUCAAGUUUUGUGAUGGCAGCUCAUGGAAUGGAGGGUGGAGGUUGUACAAUGGCGGCGUUCUCCUCGUGGCCUCCCAAUUUCGGCAACGGAGAGAGCCUUGGUUCUCUGUGGCGGCAGCUUGGAGUUUGGCGGUGCGGGUUCGGUGGUACGCGUCAUCGAGUUAUUGUGUUCUCUACUGACGGCGUGGAUCUCAUAAGGCUCGACUGACUACGAGCAACGGUGGAUUGCGGUAAAGCGCGUGGUCAAAGGCGACGACGAGGCUCGUGGACGGAGAAGACGGCGGAGCUCGUGAUCGGUGGAGUUGGCGGUGUUGUAUAGUGGGAGAUGUAUCCAGGCCUGAGUCAACAACAUUGGGCUUUGAGCUCGGCCUUAUUCAUGUGUCCUUGGGCUACUAUGGUGGGCUAGGGUUUCUCUUAGUCCAAUUCUUUAUUUCUUAGUGCUUUGGGUGGGGUCUUGUUGUAGGCCCACUUUUAUUUCUUUUUUCUUUUUAGAUAGUUUGUUUGUCUAAUAAUGCUCAACAUUUGGGUGAGUGUAGUGGGUCUUGGCCCUGUAUCCCUUGUUCAAUAGUUAAUAUAUAGUCUAAACCAAUUUCACCAGUAUUGAUGUACACCAUAAAAGUCUCUAAGCGGAUACACUGCUGGGUUAAAUUAUGUGCUAUCUUUGUUCAAGGUUUAAGAGUCAUUGUCAAAUGUGCAGUCGGUGCACUAGUUACAUGAGUACGUAGUGGAUGUAAUAUGUGAUCUUCGGAUCCCUUAGAUUGAACGAGAGAGCUCAUUGAUUUGUAUGAUCUUUUUCAAUUAAUGAAGUUAUCAAUUUCCUUCACACACAAAAAUGUACCCAGAAAAUUUGUAAAUAGACCCAACAACAUAAUUUUUG